GCAAACAUAUUAAAGAGAUGGAUUAAUUUUACUACAGUAUCAUGGAUGAACCAAAAGAAACCUCUUUUAAAGUUAUCAAGUUCUGUUGGCUAAAAUUUCUAAUUGCACGCGCAAAUAGUAGGUAAAAACCAAAACCUAAAUGCAUAAAAAAAACAUUUCUUAUUCCCAACAUGCAAAUAAUACUUUCUAUUGCUUCUUCAAAUGCAACAUUUCAGCAUGUAAAAAUGGAAACUAUCUACCCUUCCAAAAAAAUAGAAAAAACAAACAAACAAACAUCAAACCGUUAGCUGGCCAUGUAUAACUAAAAAAUUAUAUCUCCAUUUUCCAGGUGAACGAAGCAAGUUCGAAAAUAGCCAGUAGAAUCAAUUAGGUUAAAAUAAUAUUUAGGUACACCCAACAUAUCUUUAAAAUAUUUGAAGUUUCGACUCACGAAAUAAUAAUUUUCAGUAGAAAAGGUGUCGUACGAAUAAUGUUUGGCAAAUUUUUAGGUAAAAGGCUUAGGGGACUAAAUAUUCUUAGCAAAAUUUAAACAUAGAUAAACUUUGGGGACUAAUUUUGAGGUGGACAGAAAGUUCAAGGGUCAAAUUUGGACAUUUAGAAAUAGAGGAGACGCAAAAUGAUAUUUUAGCCAAAUAGAUUUCAUCAAACCAAGAAAUGUAAAGAAGACAGCUUAAUGUGAAACAGGUUGUGAAGGUAUACCUUCUCUCCCACGAUCAUCAAUUCUUGUCCUCAAUACUUUUCUCCUCUUGGGUGAAGCCGGAGUAGCAUCGACCGGAUUUUCUACCUUAAUAGAGUCAUUUUCAUGGGCACAAACUUCAUUUUUCUCAGUGGAGCAAUUAUGUUGUUUUUCUUCUACUAAAGAUUGCUCUAGUUCACUUGUCUUUUCCUCCUUGAUUUUCAGCUUUCCAUUUAGUUGUUCGUCAUUGUUCAAAUGAGCUUUCCCUUUAGGCAGUUCUGUGUGUUGCUUCAGAUCUAGACAUGAUUGAUCCUUUGGGUUUUCAGGUGAUGCCAAACUGACUGCAUCUUCAAAUUCUUCAUCAUCUGAGAAAUCAAAAACAACCCUCCUUUUUCUUCCGCUUUCAUUCGAACUUCUUUUGAUAUUUACAUCUUGCUCAUCGUCAUCACUGUUUUCAAUCUGGAGUGCUUCAUGAGCGCAAAUUUGUGCCUCUGCACUAGAUACUGCAACAGAAACCCAAGGUUAGAAAGGAAAGGUCAGUACUGUAUACAGAGCUUACUUCCAGUUCCAAUCUUUUCUGUCAAUGCAUUAAGAAUGUCAUUCUAAAUUAACAUAUUUCAUAAUCAGUCCUCAAGAAAUUUGAAUGAAAUCAACCAGGAGGCAUAACCAACCAGUAGGAUUUGCUGCAGUAGCACGAUUUGCAUCUGCAUGAUCGUCACCAAGCUUAGACUUGGUAGGGACACGUCCCCAUAAAUUUGCUAAUGAGCUUCCAGUACUGGAACAGGUUUUAUCACCUUGACCUUUCUUCUUAUUAGUAGGUAAGGAAGCAACUUUUUCUUUUACUGCAAUAGGCUUGGAGGCUUGAUGGUCUGUACGGUUGCCUUCACUUUUGACUUCUUUGACAACAGUGGAACUUUGUAGGCCAACAUUAGGACUAACUUUUGGCAUUUCACUUUUUUGAGGUUGUAGAACAGUAGUAUUUUGAUAACUUGUCAUCUUUUUGCUCGAUUCUAAAUCUACUGCACUUUUUGGCUGAGAAGCUGCAACGCUUGCAGGUAUCUCAUCAACAUUGCGCUUGACGUAGGAAUUGGAAAUCCCACAGAACCUAAAAUAGAACCACAGGAAAAGAAGCAAAUGAGUUCCCAAUGCUAUUGCACUGGAGAAAAUAAAAAGCCAAACAAGAAUCUGGCAAAUGAACUAGUAUUAAUUGAAUAGUAGCACAAAUCAUAGCUGCAAAGAGAGAAAGAAAAAAACAUUAGUAUUACGUCAUGAGAAAGUGUAUUGCUACAUCUUGUACUAAGUUCAAUACUAUGGAUUUCGUCAGGAGGUUUAUGUGAGCUGCUGUGUAGUCUCUACUCUAUAAGGAUCCAGAUCAUUCAAUCUCUACUGAGAAAAAUAAAUUCUGCCCUUGCAAACUCAUACCCAUCACGAAGAAAUGCUUACAAUAAAAACACAAAACAAAAUGAUAAUAAACCAUCCAAGUGCAAAAUUUAACUGGCCAAAUGCACAAAACCUGUUAUCUCGCAAACAGUUGUCAGCAGUGAAGGGCUGCUUGAAGAGCUCUUCUGCCUGAACAAAUUCAGCAUUCCAAAGUGCAGCUGGAUCCUUUGGAAUGGAAGCUUGAACACUAUAAACUUGAAUAGAGCAGGUGCCAUCAAAAUCUUGCUUUGCUUCUGGUCAAAAGUUAAAAGAAAAAAUAGAAGCCGCUAAGUCUCUUGAGUACAGUUAUUAUUCAUUGAAUAACAAGAUGGAGAUAUGAGUUCUCAAGAAUGGUAUGAUAAACACUACACCGAGUAUUAUCCAAAUUCUUUUAUCAAUAAAACAGAGAAACAUCAUGGCAUGUGGAAAAACAAGAAUCAAAUUAGAAGCUAACCAGGAAGUUUUGAGCCAGAAACCAGCCUAAUAUGGUAACUUGGAGGAUCCUUCUUCAACCAUCCGGAUAAGGCAUAGACCACUUGUAAUCCACUUUCAUGUUUUUCAACAAAUUCUUGAAGCAACCUACAUAACAACUUUACAUUAAAAACAUUGAACGGCGACCAACUAGUCAUGAGCAAUUUUUCUAUGUCAACUUGCCAUGUUCCUAACCUCUUGGCAGUAUCUGAAGAUAUCAAAUAACUUCGACUCAGCCACUUGUAGGAAACCUGAAAAAUGUUGAACAAAAUUAGCAGGUGUUGGAUUGCUAAAAUUUAAAUCUAUUACUGAUUCUAAAUUACAAUUUUUGAAAAUGGAAGCCAAAGAAAAGUACAUAAAAACAAGGGAAAUGAACAAUGAUCAAAUAAAACUGAUGCAAAACUCCUUAGUUAGCUUUGGCCUAGUCAUUCCUUGGAAGCAAAACCUGAAUAGAUCAUUUGACCCUGAAUAACUUGGCAUCUUUAAAUAUUUACGUUAUAGAUGGUUGUGAGAAGGACGAACGAGGCAGCCACUCAUGCAGACUGAUUGAAACCAUAAAAUAAAUAAAUAAAUAAAACCCAAAAAAAUCUUCCUUUUCCCCAAGUACGAUCGUCAGUACCCAAAAACAUACAAUACAGAAAAUUCAGCUAAGAUAACUAACAACAUUUUCGGUGAUAAGCCUCCACCUACAAACAAUAACAAAGGGCAACAUCUGACAAUGAGAGAACAAAUUACAGUUUUCUUAAAAACACUACACGAGAGACAUAAACUAAUUUUCCAGAGAAACAUAAGUCGUUCAAAACUAUAAACAACUCGGCAGCAAAACUAGGGCUAAAGCGCCACUAACCCAUUCCCGAUAAGUACCUCAAUCGACUUUAACUAAACAUUUCUAAGAAAGUAAUUCACAAAAUUAGAGUAAUAGAGGGGCUCUAGAUUGAAACAUGAUACAAAAUAGUGACGAAUGAGGAAAACAGAAAUGGAAGGAGGUGGUUACCACUUGAAGCUUAUCGGCGACGAGGGAUUCAAUGUCUUGGAGAAUACCUAGGGUUUCGAUUUCAGCCAUUUGUGUUGAGAUCGGAAGACGACGGAGAACAAAGGGGGAAGAUGAAGCGCGAGAUAGAGCGAGGAAUAUCAACGAUUUUCCCUCCUCGGCUGCUCACUCUUUCCCGCCAUUUCCAAUACAUUUAUAUGAAAGAAUAAAACAAAUUCCUCAACUCUUUUUCUCCCAAUUUCAAUUUUCUUUUCCUUAGAAAGUUAGAUAAGUUCUCUUGGAUCACAAAAUCAAACUUCUAAUUCUAAUUCAUAUAUUUAUUGACUAAAAAAACUAUAGUUUUCUCGUUCAAUUCAACUCAUUAACCAAUCUCCUUCGACAGUAGUAUCUACUUUUCUUUAGAUUUCAAAACGUCUAAUGUCAAUUUGGUCCUUAAAUUACUAUAAGUUACGAUUUCAUUCGUAAUUAACUAAUGGUCUUUCUUUUCUGUUAAUUUAAAAAAAAGAUUAUAAGAUAGCUUAUUAAAAAUGUUUUACCAAUAAAAAGUAACUAGUAGAAAAUCAAAUACUAAAGACUAGCAAAAAUAAAACUUUGAAUCCUAUGGUUAUCUAAAGAUUAAACUCAAAUCACACCGACAAAAUGUAACAGUUUGAAACAAGUAUACCAAAUAAAAACCAAAUUCAAAAUUUAAAGUACCUCGAUACCAACAAAACUAAAAAACCAACACAAUUUAUUUAUUUAUUUUUAUUAAUUGCUUUAAUUUUCCUUUUAAUUUUAGAAAAUAAGCUAACUAUUAAACUAUUUUCAAAUUGACAUAAAAGAAGCUUAAAUAAAAGACGACUAGCACAUUUGUAUUAUUAAUGCUAUUUGAGCCAGUCUCAACAAUUAUUCAAAGAGUAGAAACUAAGAUGGUGGGAUACAUUCUAGAAGUUACAUAUGGUCAAUUUUCUAAUUUUCUCUCCAUCGAAAAUAAUGACUUAUUAGUGUAAUAGUACAACAAUUCAAUUCCACGAGAUGGCAGUUGUGUAUUGGAUCAUGUAACCAAAGAUUUUCUAUGCGAAUAUGUAAACUUCAUCAAAUCCCUUCCUACAUUUUGCACAUUAAGACGAAAAAAAGAGAAAGUUAGUAAUCAAGUGAUUAAAGGAAAUAAUAACAUUAAGGUAAGAUCUUAUGAAUAAUUUGGAGUUACCCAGCCUUGCCGCCAAAAGUUGGGCUAUAGUUGUAGAUGAGAUUUUCAAUGACCUUUUGUGCAGGUGGUUUGUUCAAUGAUUUCCUGGCCUCACUAUAGACACAAACAUUGAAGCACUUAAAAGCAAGCUCAAGAAGCAAUAACCCGCAAUCCCGAUUAAAUUAGUAGAUAAAACACCGAUUAUAAUUACAGAGAUUGAUGGUCUGACUUCCUAUACCACAAUUGUUGAACUAAAAAUCUCCACACGUAACAAUCUACACUAUGAUUCUAAUUACAUGCUCAUGCAAAAUGGCAAAAAGACAAAAGUUUCAAUCGAUAGGAGAAACAAAAAUUAAUCUCGAAGAUGAAGACAAAAUACAGCCUAAAGGUCAGGGACCAAAUACUCCACAAAAAUGGAACAUAAAAUAUUUAGGUCCAAUUUGGUAACGGUUUUGUUUUUUAAAAUUAGGCCUAUUUUCUCUCCAUAUCUUACAAUAAUUUUGUAUCAUUUUUAAAUACAAUGGUUGAAUUCUUAGUUAAAUUUUAAAAACAAAACAAAAUUUUGAAAGCUACACUUUUUUGUUAUCAAAUUUUGACAUUGUUUUUUAAACUAUUUCGUAGAGAAAAGAUAGGGUUUAUAGAUUUAAUUUCCAAAAACAAAAAUGGUUACAGCAAACAAAAUUUAGAUAUAUGCUCUAACCUGACUAAGUAGUUGGCAACAUGUUGUGUCACUUCAACCGCAUGCUCUGUGUGCGGAAUCACGGAGUAGCCCCACUCAAAUGCGUUUUUCUGCAAUGCAAGUAUGUAAUUUCAGGCGCUUGAUUGAUUUAUACAUCAACAAAGAUCAAAUGACAAGGUUAUCAAACGCCAAUGCAUGUAGAUUUCGCUAUGGAAAGGCAGGGGAUCCUACAAGUUUUUGUUAUCACCUGUGCACAAGGUGGAGAUUUUUUAAUUUAAUGUAUCGAUGAAAAGGCUAAAUUACUUCUUUUGUUGAGGGGGAGAGUAUUCCAUUCAUGUGGCAACUGGAUGUUUAGCAAUGAUCCCUGUCUAGUCCACCUUGCCACACACCUCAUGAUUAAUCACUUGCGCAACUACUUAUAAUAUCUUUAAAGAGUUUUCUUCCAUGGUUCCAGAGCCCUCAGUGUUGAAUUUGAUUACAAUACAAUCAAGUAUAUAAUAUACAAAAUAAGCUACAGAAAGUUCCAAUACUAGAUGAAAGGAAUAAAGUGAAUAAUAACCUCUGGAUGCCAUUGAAAUGCAGUCACAGGAUAAUGCCAAGCUUGUACAGAGGAGACAUAGACCUGUAAUAACCAUAAACAUAGCUGUAGGUUCAACUAAAAUGUAGAGGUAGAGGAGCAAUUGAGAGAAACUUUACAGAACGUCAAUACCUUAUUGUCUUUGUCACUACUAGUUGUCAAUAUCUGAAAAAAUUUGGUCAAUUCUUCAUUUUGUGCAAAUGUCUCUGGCGAGAUACCAAACUGUAAGGAAAACAAGACCAAUAUUGGUACACUGAUCUACAAUCUGAGUAACAAAGGCCAAAUCUGAAGUCCUUAAACCCUACAUUGCAAUAUGGUUCGUGAAUACAAAUUGCAGUUGAGCAUGUAUGCUUACAGAAACAUAAAACUUGCCUUGGAUAUCAGAGUGAAAUCUUAGAAAGUUGAGAUGAACAAGACAAAGAAAACAUUUUUCGGAUGAAGAAUUAAGCUGGAUUCAAAUUAUUAAUUCUUCUAAGGGACCGUGUUAUUUAAAUUUGAAUCUAAACAUUCACGAUACGCAAAAUUAUUAACAAUAGCAAUAGGAUUAACCUAAACCCUUGCAAGAUUAACCAAUUCGAAAAUCUGAAAUCUCAACUAGCGUCAAAAGAAGCCAAAUUCCAUGCAGAAGCAAAUUGAUUUAGAUAUUGACAAUUCAUGUUGAUUCAAAUGGAAAAUUAAACCAGAAAUCCCCUAAAACAUGAAUACACAUUUCCCAGUACAUCUAUAAAUUGAAGAAAAUAAAUAGUUCUUUUCAAAUUUAAAAUCAUGAACAAUUGAGUGAUGUGUAAAAAGAAAGACCCAACAUGAAAAUAGCUUAGAGAAUGAGACAUUUGUACUACUCGCAGGAAGUGUAGGCCCAAACCCCUCCCACAAUGUAAUAAUCUAAAAGAUAAAUAAUGUUAAAGUUCCAUGGCAUGCAUAAAUUUAUGCAGAGAAACUAUUCAUCUACCAUCAAUCAAACCAAAAAGAACUUACAUAAUGGUUUUGGAAAACAAUACAAUCUGUACUCAAUUUCUCCAGUAAAUAAUGUGGAAAUCUACAGAUAAGAUCACAAAUUGUAAGCCUCAGGAUAAGCAACCAGUAAAUAAUGUGGAAAUCUACAGAUAAUAUCAGAAAUUGUAAGCCUCAGGAUAAGCAACUAAACAGCCUUAUAAUAAAUAGUAGUACUGAUUAUACAACUUCCUAAAAGAAAAAUAUUUACUGUCUAACAAAAACCUGAUUUAAAUUGAUGGGUCUCAGAAAAGUUGGCAGUUGAGACAAACAUUUAAUAAACCCAUAAAUACAUUUACAAAACAUUGGAUGCUGUUGGCAAAUAUGCAGGCAUGAUAAAUGAAUAUUUAGGAUAAAACCUUAACAUUUAGCAAUAAUCAGUAUUCUAAAUGGUUAUGGAAAACAUUUUAGAGAAGGUAUAAACAAUCUGUUAAUUUCUGAACUCCCAAGUGCGUGUUACAGAACCCUCCUUCCCAAGGAUAAAAUAUUUCAUAACAAUAACACAACCUGCAAAGAAUAUUGCAUACUGGUAAAGUAACAUUGGCUGAGUAGGUGAGCAUCGCUACCAUGCCUUGUCUACAUUAUAGAUUUAAACUACGACUCACCGACUCCAACUUUGAGAUACAUUUGGCGAUGUAAGUAUGAAAGAUGUGCAACUCUAAGCAGGCAAGCAAACCUUGAAGAAAAUAAUACAUGACCAACAAACUGAACAGUUCAAAUGCUAUCUAGUUUCCAGAUGGUAGCUGCCUUACAACUGUACAAUUGGUGAGGGAAUGUACCUUGUAUCUUGUCAGACUCAAAAGAUUUGAAAAUUUCUCUAAUUGGAAGAAACAACCACGAAUGGUGAUACAUACCUUUGGAAGACUGUUCCUUGAAUAUUUACAUUGUCCACAAAUUGAAGUGUGGAUGCCAUAUACGAUGCAUUAAAUGGUUCAAGAAUGUUCCUAUUCUGUAAAUUAACAAGAUACGAACUUUAGGUGCAAAAUAUUUACUCAAUUUUAAUGGUAACUAAAAGCAAUUUUGGUUGAAAAUGAUUUUAUUCUCCACCAAACAACUAAGGGAUCCAAAAGAAGGAUUGCAGAAUCCUUCAGUCAUUGACAGGAAAUGCAAAGAGGGGAAACACUAUUCUGUCCCUAUGUCCCAUCCAUCAUUUAGUUCUCGAGAUCAUUUGUAUUUUCUUUUUUAAUUAGAGUUGCAUCCAUGAAACACUCCUCUUGCAGGAAGUCGAGCUAAUCGAAACUGUGCAUGACAUAGGAACUACUGUACUAAAUAUGGUAGAAUUUAAAAAUAAUCAAUUUUUACCAAUAAAGCAGUGGAUGCAUAUAACAAAUGGUCAAAGAAAUAUUGUAAUUGCUUAAAUACAUGAGGAUAGUUUUUGCCCCGUCAGUGAUCACUACCACAAAAUUUGAAGAGAUGAAUGGAUAACCUUGCUGAUGAUCAUGCUUAAGAUUUCAAAACCCAAGCAAACGCCAUAUAAAGGGAAACGAUCUCCAGCAUCAUUCCUCUCCAAAAUUUUCUACAAAAACAGAACAAUAAGUUAUCAAAACAAUUUUCAACUUCGGCUCAAAGCAGUGCAUCAUUAGUAGUAUAGUUGUCCUAGGAGUAAAUCACUUCCGAAACACUAGAUUCCCAGAUUAAAGAUGUCUGCACCAGAGCUUGAAUUUUUUACUUUGGACUUUGCAUAAUUAAUUAUCAUUAGGAAAAAAGGGCUUCAAUAAUUAAAAGGUUAAAUUAUAAGAAGUACCACAAACUUUUUCCUUUGUUUCAAAAAAGAUCCAUAUACUUCCUAAGGUUGCAAUAUUACUCUUGACCUUCCACCAUAAACAUUAAAACUACCUUUGAUAUAUAAAUCUUUUAGAACUAUGAAUGGAAAUUGUGAUCUAAAAUUGUGUUAUCGUGACUUACAUCGAAAAUUUGGAUGGUCACGCAUUUUCAGGUUGCCACCAUCCCGUUCCAAACCCCAUUUUAUGUCUAAGAUUCUAAAUGAUUUUACUCCAUCUUAGUUUAUAAAGUUAAUGGAAGUUCAACAGUAAUAUUGACUUUCAAAAGUAUAGGUGUACCUUUGGAACAAGGGUAUUUUGCAUAAUUUAGCCUAAUCAAAAUUAAAAGUCUAACAUAAGCGCACUCACUCGGAUAGCGAACAGGGCAUAUAGUUGAUUCAUGCCUAGUUUCCAUGGGCUGAUUAUUAGUCAUAAAACUCAGAGCAAUUAAGAUAUAAGUAAUUAUACUUUUAGAUAGAAGGCUUGAAUCAAUACUCCUACUAUUAUCCUGCUAUCUUAAAAAGGAAACUUAUGUUCAUCCGAGAUACUGAUUAUGUUGUGAUAUGCAAGAGCUUUUAAUGGAAAAACGCUAUUAACAGUAUAAUUAUCUUUGAGGACGGGAAAACCUCAAAAAUCUUCUGAGCAACGGAAUAGUAUAGACCCUCUUUAGCCCAUCCUCCUGUGAAGAGCACUCCAUUCACCAAACUAAGCUUCUGCAACAAUUCCAUAAGUACUUUAAUUAAGCUCGAUCAUCCAUCCCCUAUAAAAAAUCGAAAAAACAAAAGUUACAAAGUUCUUAACCCUUUUUCAAUACCUCGAAAAUAACCUCAAGCGGCUCGGUAUAUAUAAGCGGAAUAACUCUUGCUCCAGCCGAUUCGACAAACUUGACAUACGAAGCAGCUAUAUAAGACGCAUUCGUCGCGUUGCUUAAUCUGCCGGAAGCACCAUCGCCAGGGUGGCUAAGGAUUCCGAUCACCGGCCGGUAAUUCAACCUCGGAUCCAUUGCUGUACAAGAAGGCGACGAGUCAAGGACAGAUUGAGACGGGAGGAGGAUGUUGGGGUAGGGAUGAACUGCGCGAACGAGGCUAAAUUCGAGUGAUAUUAUGAAUAGGAAGAAAAGCCAUGUGUAUUUGAAGAGGGAAACAGAAGACGGAGAAAAAGGGGAAGGAGAAGAGAAGUGGAAGCGGCGGUUGGGGUGUUCAGAAAUGGUGGGCUUGAAGCCAACCACUUUUUUGAACAUUAUGAAGGGAGUUGUUCAAGUAAAGUGUGAGAGCGAGGAAGUGGGAGUAAAGGACAGAGAGAAGGAGAGGAUGAAGAAUGCCAUUGAUGAAUUCAUGAAAGCUUAUUAUAUUGGUGAAGUGUUGAAGAUGAUGACUCUGAUCAGUGAAAGCGAAAAACGUUCUCUCUCUCUCAUUGGUUCGUAAUAUUUAAUGGAUUUUUUGUUUUUAAAAAUGUAAUUUUGUUCAUUUUCGUGCACGUUUUUAUUUAUUAAAAUACAAACUUCACUCUCUAAAUUAUCAAAUUUGUAACAUUUUGUCUAAGGGUUCAAAAUUUGAUAAUUAAAUUGUUACACAUCAAACUUUAUAAACGAAAUCGUUACAAGAUAUAAAAUUAAAAAGCUUAUUUGGUUACCCAUCAAAAUUCAAAAAACUAAAUUAUUAUUUUUAUAAAAGUUAAAGAAUUAAUCAAAAUUCAAAAAACUAAAUUAUUAUUUUUAUAAAAGUUAAGUUUUUAACUUUUUCUUUUAUCUUUUAUAAUUUUGAUAACAUCCUAUAAAGUAAAAAAAAAUCUAUAUUAUUGAACUUUAUCUUUAAAGUUAAUUAAUUUUUAAUAUUUAUAGGUAGCUUACUAAUUACUCUAUUUCUAAAUCUUAUUUAGACCCGUGGAGGAAUGAUUAUCUUAUAAAUUAUUAAUUUUUAAAACUUGUGACUUAUAAAUUAUUUUGAUUUAACUAUAAAUUUUUUUAUCAAUACAAAUUUUCUAGAUCCACCGCUAAUCUAUAUUUGUACGAACUAUUUAGAUAGUUAUAUAUAUAUAUACACAAAAAUGAUGUUUCAAGUAAAUUAUAAUUCUCUACUACUCAUAUACAAUUUUUGAAGUUUUAACUCAUUUUAAAUAUAAAUUCAUUUUAGCUGAAUAUUUUGAUCUUACCACAAACUUUUAUAUAGAAAAAGAAAAGGUGACAACAUUUUUUAACUUUUUAGUAGAUAUUUUGUUUAUUCUUUCUUUUUUUAUUCAAUUAACCAAUUAUCAUGUUAGGAAUUUCAAAAUAAAAUUAAAGUUAAAAAUGAAAUGGUAGAAUCUCACUUUCCAUUGGGACCGAUGCUAUCCGUUCGAAACUUGAGAAAAUAUAUAAGAAAAACAAAAUACCAAAAUAACUAACUUUAAAUAACAAAUUUUUUAAAUAUUUAUAAAUAUAAUAAAAUAUCAUCAAUUUUUUUUAACAUGAACUAAACGAGUAUAUUUUGUUUAUUGAAGUUUGAAUACUAAAUGGUUACGUUUUAUAAGAUGGAUGGAAAUUGAACCUCUCAUCUCAAUGUUGUAUCAAUUACUAUCAAGCUAGGUUAAUUUUUCAAGUCUAAAAAUGAUGUUAUUUUCAUUGUAUUGAUUGUCUUGGAUUCGAUGGAGUAUUUGUUGUGGUCCUUUACCGUCUUGUCUACCAUGCCUAAUUAUUUUUGUAGCCUCACAAUUAGAAGACGUGCUUUAGUUUUUUUGCAAACUAAAAACAUGCUUUAAUACUAACUACUGUAAACCAUUCUUAUAUUUAUGUAGCAAACAAAUAAUAAAAUGAACAAUUUUAGUAUAAACUCGAGCCUACUAAACUAAAGUCAUAUAUUAGCAAAAUUAUUGUAUUAUCCAAACUAAAAUGAAAUUAAGUAAAUAUAGUUAUACGACACCUUGCUUUAAAAUCAUAUUAAAAUUUAAGAGAAAACAUAUAUAUAUAUAUAUAUAUAUAUAUUGAUAGAAACUAAUUCAUGCACAGCGGAAAAAGAAUCGAAUUUCUACCCUAUAUUGCCACAAUUAACCUCUAAACCAUAAACUAAUCAAAUUAGGGUUUUAAGAAGUAUUACCUUUGAAGCUUUCAAAAGGUUUGAUGUCUUCUUACCAAUUCUACCCGAGACCACCACUAGUACUCAACUGCUAUCCUCUAGACAAAGAACCGGGUUGUGGGACCCAAUUUUGGUGUAGAAAGUAAUGGAGAUAAAAUGAGAUUGGAAGCUUUCUUUUUUCUUUUGUUGAGAUUAUGAAAAUGAUAAAAGAGGCAAAAGUCCUUCAACAUUUGAAAACAUCUCUAUUUAUAGCCUAAUUACAUGCAAAAAUGCAUGCAAUUCAAUUGCCAAAUCUCAACACCUAAUAUUCCACUAACAAUUAGUGGAACUUAGUGGGCUAGGUGUCUAUAUCUCAUAUAGCCACAUAUCCCACUAAGAGUUAGUGGGAUUAUCCAACAAAAUGUUGGAUUUUCCCACUAACUUAGUCCAAGGGUAAAAUGGUCAUUAGAUUUUUCUAGUCAAAAGUCAAACUUUGACUUUUCUAAGUCAAAAGUCAAUAUUUUGACUUUUUACCAUUUUGUCCGUCUUGACUAAUUCCAACCUCCCGAGCAUGAAUCCGCAUUCAUUUUUCCAAAAUUCAAAUCACAUUUGAAUAUAAGGCCGGUCAAAGUUUGACUUUUCAAAGUCAAAAGUCAACAUUUUGACUUUUUACUAUUUUUGACCAAUUCCGAGCUUCUUAGUAUGAAUCCGCAUUCAUACUUAUAGUAUGUAAAACAUAAAGCUCUAUUUCUAAUUAGAAGACCGACGACUAUAUCACUAUAUUUGUCGGUUUCCCUUUCUUCUCCCAAUUCGAACAAUUCGACUUAUUUCAUCACACUGUUCUAAGUUUAAUCCAUAUGAGCUAGCAGAGGAACCUAAUGGACCUAUAGAUCAUGGGCUCCAACGAUUCAAGAUUAACUAGCUAAACUCUUUUAAACCGAGUUAAUCAACAUUCGUUAACUAACGGGUCAUUCCACUAAAGUCCCGUAGUUGCACUCCCCUCACUAUAGAUAUAUUUGUGUCCAUUUGAUAAAACCAUAAUCAGUAAGUUAAUCCUUCACAGGUUGCUCGUAACCUUGGCUGGGUCAAAAUACCGUUUUACCCCCAAGAUUACAUCUUGCUCCUUAAGUCCCACUAAUCCACUAUUGAACAAUUGGUUUAAGGUUCAACCUAUAAACUUAAUCCCUCUCGGGCCAAUGAGAGGGUGGGGCCCCUUGUUCAAGACUUGGAUUCAGUGCUUAAGAGAGCAACCUAUCUACUAACCCUAAAGCGGGUAGGAGUGAAUUCCAUCUUGUACCCUAUGUUCCCAGCUAUCCACCCGAUCUUACCCCUGAAAUGGGAGGCUUAUUGGGCCAACGCUGAUGAGCUGCCCUCACCUAUGCAGAUCUAAGGAUAAUCUCGUAUGAACAGGAGUUCAUAGUUAACUCAGGAUUAAGACUAAGUUACCUAGGUCAUCAAUAAUUGAGAUAGUCAGUUUUAAACAGUAAACGGUGUUAUAACGUAAAAAUGACUAAUUCAUGGUUCAGUCUUAUGUAAACAUUUUACAUAGGAUGCCCCCACUUUCAUGUCUCUACAUGAACGAUUAGGAUCACCUCGUUUGUACUACAAAGUGGGCCGCAUCCAUAGUUUCUCUAAAUAAGGCGCCCAACCUUUAUUUCAUAUACUAUAGACUAUUUAGGCUAUAUACUCGAACUUGAUCCACGUUUAUGUUUACACAUAAAGUUCAAGUUUAUUCAAAAAAUAGCCUUGGAACUUGAUUUAUUGGAUUUAAGAUUAUAAUAUUUAAUUUCUCAAUAACAACUUUAUUGAACAGAAUAUGAUUUACAAACUACGAGUUUUAGGACAAAAAAUUCCAACAUAUAUAUAUAUAUAUAUAUAUAUAUAUAUAUGUUUAUUACGUUUAUUGUCUUAAACUUUGGAUUUAAUUUGUAUAUUGUUUAGGAAAAUUUUAGUUGCAAUUAAUAUUUUAAAAAUUGGUCUAAGUACUGUUAUUGACUAAAUGAAGUAUAUUUAGAUUGGUAAAUAUGGAGUAAGUAUCAAUCACGAGGGAUGGAAGAAUAAAAUUUUAAUUUUUUUUGUUGUAAUAACUAGUACAAUCUAAAUAUGAAAAUGGAGAAAAUAUAAAAUUAAAAUAAGAAAAUAAGAAGAAUCUCAAAUUUGUAUGCUUGCUUCAAUUUUUUGAAAUUUUGAUUUCUUAUGUGUUUCUUACAACUCCAUCAACUGCCACUAUUUAUAGGUAGUUUGGUAAACAUGGGAUGGGUUACAAUAUAACCACUAAUAUUGAGUAUUUUAUAAAUACACGACAUGAGUGUUGAUGAUUAAUGGAAUGACUCAUGAUGGAUACUGAGAGUCGGUUUGGUAAUGUUCUCGUUUCCCGUUUUCUGUUUCUGUUUUCAUGUUUUAAGAAACGGGGGUGUUUGGUAACUUUUUUUUGUUUCUUGAAUUCAAAAAAAGUAGAAACGUUUCUCAUUUUAUAAUGAAUUAUUAAAAACAAAAAAAAAGUAGUUUCUUCCGUUCCUGUUUCUCAAUUAUUUCUAUUGUUUAUUUUUUAUUUUUUCUCAAUUUUUUCUAUUGGUUUCUUUUUCCUUUUACUCAAAUCCUUUUUAUUGAUUUCCUUUUCUUUUAUCUCAAUUAUUUUUGUUGGUUUCAUUUUCCUUUUUAUCAAUUCUUUUUUUAUUUCAUUUUCAUUUUCCAUUUUUCUCUGGUGAUUUUCUUUUUCUCCCUCUUAUUUUCAUCUUCUUUCCCAAAUAACCACCCAUCACGUGGUUUCCUUUUUCUUCCUCUUAUCGUCUUCCUCUACACAACACCUUUCUCUUCGUUGGAUAUGAGUUUUCAUUUUUCUCUUUGCAUGAAUUGUGUUUUCGCUGAAUUUGUGGGUUUUUGCCGUGAAUUUUUGUCUUCCUCUUUGUCGUGGGUUUCAGUCCUCUUCGUCGUGAGUUUUUGUCUUCCUCUCGCCAGCUGUGUUCUUCAGAUCCCAAUCUUCAUCUUGUUCUUCAUAAGAUUACAAGAAAACUUUCCAAUCUAGGUUCGAUAAUUUUAAUUUUUUUGAUCUAAAAAAAGAAGGAACAGAAAACCAGAAACAUAGAAUAAGAAACAGGGAACAUGAACGUUACCAAAAGGACCCUAAGCUUAUAAGUAUCAGGACAUAUGGUUUGUUAGGUAAUAUUUAUAAUAAUUUUGAAAUUUUGGAAGUUUUGAAGGAUAUAAAAGAGGGAUUAAUUACUAAAAUAUUAUUAUUUCUAAAACUAUUUAUCAAAAUACUGUGGUUUCAAAACUAUUUACCAAAAUGUUGUUACUUUUUUCUCUCUCCUCGGGAGUCCAAUUCCUUCUUGUCAACCUCUUCUUGGGAGAGUUUUGCUUUUCUUUCUUUUCAUAUAAAUUUCAUUGUUUCUCUUUUUUUUUUCUUCAAUCAUUAGUAUACAUUUUUAUCCCCAUUCAUUUUUCUUCUUUUUUUUCUUAAAUAUAUUUUUCAUAUAAUUUUUUUAAAUCUUUUUCUUAAAGUUUUCAUAUGAUUUUUAAGUUAUUUUUUUCUAUAUUUAAAUAAUUGGUAAAAUAAAUUAACAAAGACAAGAAAAUGUUAAUAUUUUUUUUUAAUUUUCAUUAAAAUCUAUUAGGAUGCUCUAAACAAAAUUAAAAUUUCUUUUUAAAAAAAUAUCAAAUUUCAAGAAUGUAUUUUUUGUAUAAUUUAAAAAACACAAAUAAUAAUGUUAAUAAAUAUUUUUUCUUAAAAUUCAAAAUUUUAAGAGUAGAAGAGUAGAAUAAUGGUAUAGCUCGAAAAAAUAAAUACCUCAUAAACGAAUACAACAAAUAAUAAUGUUAAUAAUUCUUAUAGAAUUUCGUUAAAAUCGUUUGGUAUUCUAAACCGUAACAUAUUGAAAAUCUCCCCUUCUAAGUUUUUAAAUUUUAAUUACUAAACAAAAUUUUAGUAAUUAAUCCAUAAAAAUAAAAGAGUAUGCAAACAAAAAAUGUGACAUGAUCCGUACAUUGUUUUUAUUUAUCUUCAUUGGGUUGCGUUAUUGCUCUGUCGUUAUUGUUCCUUUCUUUCUACAAUCAUUCCCCUUCCUCCAUCCCUCUUUUAUCUUUUUCUUUGCCUUCACAACAUAAAAUAAAUAUAUUUUCAAAUACAUAUACUAAACAUUAACAAUAUCUUUAUCUUUUAUAUCUUUGAUAUAUUAAAAGGGACCAUCUAACUUUUUACAUUACUCAUAACUUAUAUAUCACCAUCUUUUCAUUAGCAAAAGUUAUUUUAGAAGGUAGAUUAUAAUUAUGUAGGAGAGAUUAUAUUUGGUUAAGAGGAUUGAGUUGGUAAGUGUUAUAAAAGAGAAAUUGUGAGGGUUGACGUGAAAUAAUGAGAUAUAACAUAUUUAUGUAAAAAAAAUUUAUUCACCCAACCCAACCUAAUUCGGAGGCGAGAUAUCUCUCAAGACAAAAAACGAUAGAAACAUAUGAUAAGAUUAGAAGGUAGGUGAGUGAGGUAGAAGUUAGAAUAAAGAAAACAGUUUUGGAAUUUCGCGUUUCUCAUUUUAUUUAUAAUUUAGAUAGUGAAGUUAAUUAUUACAACAUUACUCCUCAUGAAGAAGACAUAGAUGGAAAUUCCAAAUGGUAAGAAAGAGAGGAUGCAGUAAGGCAAGGCAUUGCACAUCUACUGAAAAAGAUAAACUUGAUCAUAUCCCUUCCUGCAGUCACAAUAAUUCACAUACACAUAUUAACUUAAAUUAACAAAAGCAACAAAAUAAUUUUAAGGAAAGAAAAGGCCGAGGGAAGGUUAAUAAAGAAAUGGUAUUUACCCAGCCUUGCCAUUGUAAAUAGGGGUGUAAUUGUAGAUUAGUUUCUCAAGAACCUUUUCUUUUGGUGGUUGGUUUGUCGAUCUCCUUGCCUCACUGCAUUAUUAGUUCAACCAACAUACACCUGAGUACACUAAUUAUAUAUAUAACCCUUCUUUUCUUUUCUUAUCUUUAUUAUUAUUAAUAUCAGUGAUAUAUAUAUAUAUAUAUAUGGCCUAUUUUCAAAUAUAUAUAUCAAAAUAAAUCUAACCUGACCAAGUGAUGAGCUAUAUGGUGUGUCAAUUCAAUGGCAUAUUCUGUGUGUGGGAUUGAAGAAAUACCCCAUUCAUAUGAGUUUUUCUGCAACAUUAUAUUCAUAUAUUUUGUUAAGUGUAAAUAUUAAUAAACAUAUUUGUUAGAGUUGUUGUAUCAAUGGAGAAAAAUUAGUAUUAUUUAAAAGACAAAUUACCUCAGGAUUCCAUUGGAAGAUAGUUAUUGGAUAGUUUCGAGCAUUUGCAGUAGAAACAUAGACCUAAUUACAAUGAUACGACCACAAAUAAAUCAGUUUGAGUGUGUUCCAACUAUAUGAAGAUUAGUUUUAAUAGAGUUAAUUUGUACUAAACAUAAGUUUGAUUGUUUCUAAAAUCAAUUAAUUGUACCUAAAUCUUUGUUUUUAGAAUCACUACAAAAAAAACACUCUAAAACAGUUUAAAUAAGUAUGAUUCAAGUGGCAUGAAAUUUAUGAAAUGAUGUAUGUUAAAUUACCUUAUUGUCUUUGUCAACACUAGUUGUCAAGAUCUGAAAAAAGUCCGAUAACCUUUCAUCUUGUUCAAAUGUUUCAGGUGAAAUGCCAUACUAUAUUCAACAAAAUAAUUAAUAAUUACCAAAAUGUUAUAGAAGUCAUGAUACAAUAUAAUUAAAACGAUGACUAAAAAUAAAAUAAAAUGUAAAAGUACAGAUCUCGUUGGUAACUAUUUUGUUUUUGAAUUAAAAUUUAAGUUUACAAACACAUUCCCACUUCCAAACAAUUUUGGUGGGAGCUAAAUUUUGAAAACAAAAAAAUUUAUGUUUUGGAAAGUUGUUUUUAUUUUUAGAAUUUGACCGAGAAUUCAACCAUUGUACUUAAUAAAUAUGCAAAUCAUUGUAAGAGUAUAUGAAAAAAAAAAAUAGACUAAAAUUUUGAAGCAAAAAAAUACAAACGAAAUAGUUACCAAAUAGGAUCAUACAAAUAUGAAAAUUGGAAGACAAAAAAGAAAGCUCACAAAAGCAAAGAAAAAAGGGUUUGAAACUCACUCCAUGGUCUUCCCAUGUAAUGCAAUCUUCAGUGGCCCUUAUUCGUAAGGAGAGUGGAACUCUACCAAAGAAAUAACAUAUAGAUCAAACUCCACAUUGUUAUUCAUUAAUCAGUACUGUAGGAAAUAUUGUAUUUAAUUGUGAAUCUAAAAUUUAAAUAUGUACAAUAUCAAAUAAUAUCAAUAUCAAAUAUUAAGUGGGUAAGCAUUGCUCAACUUAUAACUUUAAAUAUGUACAAUAUCAAUAUCGAGAUGAUGAGACUAUAUAUAUGUUAUUAAAAAAUUCAAUGGUAAAUGUACCUUUCGAAGACAGUUCCUCUAAUAUUUGCGAAGUCGUUAAAUUUCAAAGCAGAUGGAAAGCGUGAGGCAUUAAAUGGUACUAUAAUGCCAUAUCUCUAUAAAGAAAACAAAAAUACAUUAUAUAUAUGAAAAAUACUAAGCAUAUUUCACAAAUUUUGACUAAGUAUACAGUUCAUAGAUCAUAGAGAAAUCUUGUCCUAAAACGAAUAGGUACAGCUCAAUUUGCAUUAAGAUGGGUAGGCACACUUUCGAUUUUGAACUCAAAACUACCAAGUCAUAAUUAAAAGCAGUACAUUACCUGGCUAACCAUUGCGCUAAUGAUCUGAAAACCUAAGGAAAUGCCAUACAAAGGGACAUGAUCCCCAUCCUCAUUCCUACUCAAUAUUUGCUGCACCCAAAAUUAAAUAAAAUUAUCAUUUAAAGGAAAAUUUCAGAUUCUAUAAACAAUAAAAUAUAUAUAUUAUAUGAAGGAUUUACCUUGAAAAUUUUCUCAGCCACUGAAUAAUAUAACCCAUCUCUAACUCUCCCUCCUGUGAAGAUCACUCCAUUCACCAAACCCAUUUUCUGCCAACCAAAAGAAAUUUUGUUCUUAAAAGAUCAUAUUAUUAAUUCAUAAUUAAUCAAGUUUUAAAUUUCUUCAACAGUAUUGAUUUCUUUUAAAAAAAAGUUGGAAUAAUUAAGGUAAUAUCUCCAACCUCUCUUCCACUUAAUUAUGCUUGGAUUAGCUAAUAAUCAUCGUUAAAUUAGUUUAAUUUUUUUCGAUCUGCACGUUGUUGUCAAUUCUUUGAAGGUUACUUGAAAGGUCUCGUAUCCUAUCAAUGACGAUGAAUUGUCUUAUUCAUAUAUAUAUGGUACGUAUGGUUUGUGUCCCAACAAAAUUAGUCAAGAUUUUGAUGGAUUUUAGUUCAACGAGGGAUCUCUUAUAGAUAAAUUUCCUUACAAUGGUCAAUGGUUUGAUUUCAUUUGGGUGAGAUGACAGUGUAGUGGAUAUAAUUCGUGUCAGCACAAAAUCAUUACUUUAUUACCUCUUCGAGAACCUCAGGUGGGUCGUUAUAGAUAAGAGGAAUAACUCUAGCACCGGCGGAUUCGAUGAACUUGACGUACGAGGCCGGAAUGUAGGACGCAUUGCUGGCAUUAGUGUGCCUACCGGAGGCGCCAUCACCAGGAUGAGAAAGGAUUCCGAUCACCGGUCGGUAGUGGAGCAAGGGAUUGACUUUGGUACAAGUACGCAAUUGGAGGUUAUCUGAUCUCUCAUUGUUCUGGAGUUCAGAAGGUAAGAAAAUGUUGUUAGAGAGAGGAUUGUGAGUGAUGGCUUUAACGAGACCGAUCUGGAAGAAGGAGAAGAUUAAGAGGGAAAUACAGAGGAGAUGGGAGAGAGCUGAAUUGAACAUUGUGAAAAGAAACAAUGAAGAGAAUUAAAAUAGAUCAAGAAGAAGAAGAUGAUGAAAUAAAGAAAGAUAUUGGUUGAAUUUAUAGACAGUUUUUCUUUUCGUUUUUGUAGAUUUGUUUGAUAUUAUUAGAUUUAUUUAUCAUCAUUUUUCUUGGGCCUAUGUCUUUUUUGAGAGAAACUUUCUAUAUAUCAGAAACAAAAUGCUUUGUGGAUAGAACUCCGUUGCAUGCAGUGUUGUUUUGAAAGCUAAUUAAACACAAAAUCCUAAUUAUGAAUAUUCUAAGUCAGGAGGGUUAUUAGGAUGGGUGCUGCUUUGGGAGCACCAAGGUCGAGUUCGGGUUGCUGCCUGCUCAAAGUUCAUGAGAUUAAGGUUCUUCAACCAAUAGCUAAUACUGUUGGUCUUGAAAUGGAAAGGAUUUUAACAAUGGAUAGGUGAUGUAAAUGUGUAUCAGUUGAUAAAAAAUAUGAAAUAAGACUGAAAUAGUUGAUGAACUGUUGUCAAUGAACUCACAUAGAGUUUGAAUUUAUUUUCAAAAAGAUUCAAACACAUAUUAAGAGGAAGUCGGAUUUUAUUCAAGUUUUUAUUAUAACUUAAAAGAGUUGUUUUAGUGAUAAGUUGCUCACUUUCUAAACUUUAAUAAUAUUUCUUAUAUGAGUUAAGAAGCUAUCCGAUCCUCCGGAUGUAGAUGAUAUUUACCAAACUGGGUUAACAAAGCUGUUAUUUUGCUCUUCCUUAGUUAUUCUUUUAGUUAGCUACUUUCCACAUAGCUAAAAGAUAUAAUUGAUCGUCUCAUUUAUUUCAAAAUACAUUGAAAAAAAAAAAACUCAUUUGUUUUUGUUUUCUAAAACAAUUUUCGAAUCAUGAAUCAAACAAUAAUAUUUUGUUUAUUUCGCGAGGUUUUUAAUACAAGAAUUGUGGAGAUGAAGAUAAAAUCUCUCACUCCAUAUGUCAUAUCAAUUAUUACCGAACAACUAAGCUCAUUUUCAUCCUCAGAAACACAGAUAUUUUCAUUGCUUUGAUUGUCUUGGAUUAUUUGUUCGUCGUGGACCAUUUUUUUGUUUCCUUACUGUAUGAUAAAAAACGUGCUUUAAUACUAACGUACCUUCAGACCAUUUUUAUAUUUAUGUUGCAAACAAACAAACAAAAUAAUUUCUUUUAGUAUAAACUUCAUCGUACUAAACUAAAGUCAUAUGUUAGCAAAAUCAUUGUGUUAAUUGAAAACUAAAUAUAGUUCUACGAAUUUAACUUUAUGUUUGCUUUAAAAUCAUGAUGGAUCUCAAAUUAAAAUUUAGGAUCUAGAAACAUAUAUAAUAUUAUAUUUCAACACAUUACACUCGCUUAUCCUAAAAUUUGGAUCCUAAUUUAUAUAUUGUCUCUAAACUUGAAACACACAUCAUAUAAUUACUAUUGGUAAAGUACCACUAUUGACUAAAUGAAGUUAUACUUAGAUUGGUAAACAUGGAGUAAGUAUCAAUUAUGAGGGGAUGAAGAAUAAUAAAAUUUUAGUUUAGAAAAAUUGAAAGUUUGUAAGGCUAUAAGAACAAUGUAACAAAUUAAAAUGUGACAGAAUCCGUACCUUACUUUUAUUUCUCCUUUUACUGUUUCUCUUCAUUGCCUUCCAUUAUUGCUCUCUAUCCUUCUUACGUUCCUCUCUUUCUUCAAUCAUUACCCUUACUAAUUAAAUUGAAGUUAUUACUUAAUAAAAACAACUUUACAACAUACCAAAAUCUACUUAUUUAAUAAAAACAAAAUAAAGCAAUUAAAGAAAAGACAAUUAAGAGUUUUGCAAACUAUCAUAUAUAUAUAUAUAUGUAGCAUUAUUUUUUUUUAUAAAAAAUGCAAAUAUAGCAAAAUUUGUCAAAAUCUAUUAGUAAAUGAUAAAACUAAUUGAUCACAAGAGUCUAUUAACAAUACAUUUUGUUAUAUUUAUAAUUUAUUAAAAAUGUUGAUUAUGUGGAAAACAUUUUACUAAAACAGUUUAUGGUUGUAAAAGAAAUAUAGCUAAAUUUGUUAGUUUUAGCUUAUUUGUUAACUAGAGUUUUAACUAAAGUCUUUGGAAAGACUAUAAAUACAUAUAUCCUUUUGAAAUUCAUUAGAGAACUGAAAUAACAUCUUGCUCCUAAGCAUAGUGGACGUAGCCACUUGCUAAAUCACUUUAAAAUCAUGUGCUCAUCUUCUCCUUCUUCCUCUCAUCAUCUGCUCUCAUAUCACCAUCUUCUAAGAUCAAAGGCCAUUAGUAAAAACUCGAAAAACCAGAAAAAAAGAAAGAAAGAAGAAGAAAACUUGGAGAGCUUUUCUUAAUCUUAUGUAAUACAAAUUUACACACAAAAGGAAAAGAAAGGGGAAGGAAAAAGGAAAAGACAGUGGAGAAAGAGCCCACUGCGUUACAUGCAAAGAGUUGUCUUCUUUGUGUCCAUACACAUGGCUGCCCCUACAAAUUGGUAUCAGGGUAUGAGAAAGAUUCAAGAAAGCUUCAAGAAUCACAUUCUUGAUUCAAGAAACUCAAUGAUGGCAGUAGCAAGGUAUGAUAUUGAAAAGUUUGAUGGUAAGAGAGAUUUUACCUUAUGAAAAGCUAAGAUCAAAGCUAUAGUCGACCAACAAAAGGUUUGGGGGGGGGGGGGGGGGGGGGGGGGGGGGGAGGCUGAAGCUAAUGUCAGGUUUUUUAUGGUAAUGUUUAGACCAAAUUUGUCUCUUUUAUAUCAAGUUGUAGGUAACUAUUAUGUGCUCCAUUGUCACUGCUUUUUGUUUGUAUUGGGAGGAGGCUGGAAUGAAGGGUUGAGGGGAGGGGGAGGGGGUGAAGACUAAUACCAGAUUUUUUAUGGUACUGUUUAUAUUUUUGGUAUAAUGUAUUUGGAUUGUGUUUGUGUAUUUGGUACAUUAUGUUAUGGUAUUGACUGAAGACAUAUGUUCUGUAUAUGCCAUUUUCACUGCUUUUUUAUUGUGUUGAGAGGGGGCUGGAACGAAGGGUUGGGAGGGGGGCUGAAAAUUUUAUCACAGAAGUUUGGACACUCUAGUUAUUCUUCUAUAAUCUCAAUAUUGUUUUUUUUCAAUCUUACAUCAAUGAUAAUGUUCCUUAAUUGCCUUUAAAUAGCUUCAAGUAGAACCUCCUCAUAGGUAAUGUUCUUUAAUCAUACUCUAAAUAAGAUUUUGUUUUCUUACUAGGUUUGGAAGAAUCCAUUUGGAGCAUUGAAGCCAAUAUGGAGCAAUUCGUUGACAUAACAUCUUUUGUAUGGUUGGUAGCAAAUUCUUGCUUCCAAUGUAUUGAUUUUAGGUUUCUUGCUUCCAAUGUCAAUGUAUAUAUUUUUUUCCUAUGAAAAGUACAUUUGAACUAAACAAAUGGUUAUUAGUCAAUGGGUGUACGAAUACUACAAAGUGUAUCAUUAUGUAUAUAUAUAUAUUAAAGUGUUGACUUAUUGUUUUCAUAUGGGUGUGAUAUAUUAUUGUUAUUGUUAUUGAAGUUGUUAGUGUAAUAGUUCAGCGGCAAGAAAAACAGGAAUUGAGGAAUACACAAUAGGGAAAAAAUAUCAUAAUAUACAAAUUUGUAACAUUUUUUUUUCUGUCGUCAAUACCGAAACAAUGACAAUUAAAAUUUUAUAAAAACUGUCACUAUUGGUCUAUCCAUGACAUGAAAAAAAUGUCGUACUAUAUUAAUUCGUGACAUUUUCAUAACUGUCGUCAAUAUCGAAUCAAUGACAAUUAUAUUUUACAAAAAAAUGUCACGAUUGACAUAUUCUUGAUAGUAAAACAUGUCAUAAUAUAAGAAUUCGUGACAUUUUUGUAACUGUCGUAAAUGUGUAAAUGGUGACAAUUAUUUGUUGUCAUAAAAAAUGACAGUUAUUUGUUGUCAUAAAAUACUAAUUAAUUACAUUUAUUUUUUGUCAUGAAAACACAUAUUGUGACAGUUUUUUGGAACUGUCAUAGAUGGAUUUUUCACGACAUGCGAUAUUAUGACGGUAAAUAACUGUCACGAAUUUUUUCGCAACAGAAAAUAACUGUCAUCGUAGAUCAUUUUUCUUGUAGUGUAUUUUCUAACAUUUACUGAUGAUUACUCUAAAAAAAGUUGAGUUUAUUUCUUAAAGUCUAAAUACCAAACUCUAGGAAAAUUUAAAGAAUGGAAAACCAUGGUAGAAAAACGAACUUCUAAACAAGUUAAAUGUUUAAGAACUGAUAAUGGUUUAGAAUUUUAUAGUGAGGAAUUUAAUAACUUUUGUAAAGAACAUGGAAUAAUGAGCCAUAGGACUGUUAGAUAUACCCCUCAACAAAAUGAUGUUGCUGAAUGGUUAAAUAGAACCAUAAUGGAUAGGGUUAGAUGUCAAAUGUCUAGUGGUUUAAUUCUAGAAAAUUUUUGGGUAGAAUGUGUUUCCUAUACUGUUUACACCCUUAAUAGGUGCCCUCAUCACUCCAUAAACUUUCAUACAUCUGAACAAAAAUGGUAUAAACAUCCUUCUAAUUUACAAAACCUUAGAAUAUUUGGUUGUAUAGGAUUUUCCCAUCAAAGUCAGAGAAAAUUAAAACCUAAGAGCUAUAAAAUGUAUGUUCCUAGGUUUUAUAGAGGGAGUUAAGGUAUAGAGGGAGUUAAGGGGUUUAAAAUGUGACAUCCUAUAGAAAAAAGGUGUAUAACUAGUAGAGAUGUGGUUUUUAAGGAAAAUACUAUGUUUAUGCUUGAUAAACGUAUUGAAACACUUGAUUCAAGUUAUAAGUCAAAUGAGAUUGAGGUGGAGCAACCACCAAACAAUGAAUCAAAUAAACUUCCUAGUAUCAUUGAGGAAGAAAAAACAGAAUCAAUGAUCACUUUGCCACUUACUCUAGAAGUUACUCAAGAAGAAGAAGGUUUAUCAACCUAUUCUUUGGCUAGAGAUAGACAAAGAAGGACUACUAUUGUUCCUCCUUCUAGAUAUAGUGAAGCAAAUUUUGUAAAUUUUGUCAUAAAUGAUAUGAAUCAUCUAAAUGAUAAUGAACCAAAAACAUUUGAUGAGGCAGUGAGCUGCCCUAAUGCUAGACAUUGGAUAAAUGCCAUGAAUGAUGAAAUGGAAUCUCUCACUAUCAUACAUGGACUUUGGUGAUGCUACCUAAAAAUUGUACGACCAUAUCUUGCAAAUGGAUUUAUAAACUUAAAGAAGGAGUUCCCGAUCUUCAACAUCCUAGAUAUAAAGCUAGGCUUGUAGCCAAAGGCUUUACACAAAGGGAGGGAAUUGAAUACAAUAAAGUAUUCUCACUGGUUGUUAAACAAACCUCCAUAAGAAUGGUUUUUUCAUUAGUAGUUCAAGAAGAGAUUUAGAACUUGAACAACUUGAUGUUAAAACAUUAUUCCUACAUGGUGAUUUGAAUGAAGACAUAUACAUGAACCAACCACAAGGAUACACUGAAAAAGGUAAAGAAGAUCAGAUAUGUUAUCUUAAAAUGUUCAUCUAUGGUUUAAAAUAAUCACCAAGGUGUUGGUACAAAAGGUUUGAUGAUUUCAUCUCUAAACUUGGUUUUAACAAGAGUUCUUAUGACAAUUGUGCAUUUAUAAAUUCAAAUUCUUACUCUUCUAAGGUUUACUUACUCUUGUAUGUAGAUGAUAUGCUACUUGCAAGUAAAUCUAAAAUUGACAUUAAAAAGGUAAAGAGACCUUGAAGGAAGAAUUUGAUAUAAAGGAACUUGAAGAAUCUAAGAGAAUUCUAGGCAUUGACAUUACAAGAGAAAGAACAAAGAGGAUUAUGACAAUAGACCAAAGUAACUACUGCUAUAAGGUACUUAAAAGAUUUAAUAUGUUAGACGCUAAGCAAGUUGUAAUUCCUAUUGCACAACACUUCAAACUAUUAGUUGCUAACUGUCCAAACCUAGAAGAUGACAACCAUGUUAAGUACAUGGGGAACAUUCCCUACUCACAAGUAAUAGUGAGUAUAAUGUACCUAAUGAUUUCUACUAGGCCUGAUCUAUCUUAUUCUUCUAGUUUAAUUAGGAGGUACAUAGCUAACCCAGGCAAAAGGCAUGGGAAGCAGCCAAAUGGGUUCCUAGGUACCUAAAGGGAUCUAUGAAUGCUUGAUUAAUCUAUAAAAUAUGUUAUAAAGAACUGUUUGAACUCUAUGUGGUUUUGUAGAUUCUAACUAUGCUAGGGAUUUGGAUAAGAGAUCACAAACAAGAUAUUGUUUCCUAAUUGAAGGCAACCUACUAAGCUGGAAAGCUUCACUACAACCUGUGGUGGUCUUAUCAUCUACUGAAGCUGAAUAUAUAGCUCUUUCAGAAGUUAUUAAGGAAGCUAUUUGGCUAAAGGGACUACUGAAGGACUUUGGCUUAUCACAAAAAUCAGUAAAAAUCUACUGUGAUAACCAAAGCACCAUUCAUUUGUCUAAGAACCAACAAUAUCACAGUAGAACUAAGCACAUAGAUAUUAAAUUCCACUUCAUCAGAGAACAAAUCGAAAAACAGGAAGUGGAAGUGCUCAAAGUUCAUACCAGUGAAAACACAACUGAUAUAUUGACGAAGGUAGUCACUCGAACGAAGUUCCUCAAAUGUCUUCAAACAAUCGGGUUCAUGGAAUUCGAAGAGUGACUGCAUCAAAGCUUUGGGAGUCAAGAUAUAAACAAAAUUUUCACACUACAUCUUUUAAGGUGGAGAUUUGUGGAAAACACUUUACUAAAACAAUUUAUCUUUUGUUGUAAAAGAAAUAUAGCUAAAUUUGUUAGUUUUAGCUUCUUCAUUAACUAGAGUUUUAACUAAAGUCUUAGAGAAGCCUAUAAAUACCUAUAUCCUUUGAAAUUCAUUAGAGAAUUGAAAUAACAUCUUGCUCCCAAACACAUUGGACGUAGGCACUUGCUGAACUACUUUAAAAUCGUGCGUGUUCCUUCUCCUUCUUCCUCUCAUCAUCUUCUCUCAUAUCAGCAUAUUCUAAGAUCAAAGGUCAUCAAUAAAAAUAAAAAUAAAAAAACAGAGAAAAUUAGGAAAGAAAUAAGAAGAAACACUACCUACAAAUUUGGUCUUUCUUGACGCACACAAAUUUUGAUUUCUUGAUGGUCAUGGCAAAAGACCAUUAAGAAAAAAUUUUCUUGAUACAAUAUUUAUUUUGACGGUCAUGUACGCUAAGAAAAGUCCCCUUAUUUUGUUGAAGAAAUACGAAAAAAAACAUAAGAAAAUGUGAAUUUUUAUUUUCUCGAUGGGCAAAGUUCCCUUACUUUUGUUGAUGGUCCACAAACGUCAAGAAAACUAUUUCUCGAUGAACAAUAAACAUCAAAGAUAAUAUAUUAGUUGAGUGACAAUGCCUAUCAAGUUAGAUACGUUUUCUUGAUGAGCGAGACCCAUCAAGGAAUGAGUUUUCUUGAUUUGCAAUGGUCAUCAUCGAAAAAAAUUAAUAUAUUUGUUUUGGAUUUCUUGAUGUGUUUAGAAUUUUCUUGAUGGGUCAGGUCUAUUGAUGGACAAAGAAAAAAAAGAAAAAAAUCAUGAACAAGAUCUAUCAAGAAAAAUGAUAUUUUGAUGAACAUUGCCCAUCAAGAAUUUUUUUUAUAAUUAUGGAUUUAGCAUAAGAUCAUGGACAAGACCUAUAAAGGAAAUGAUAUCUUGAUGGACAUUGCUCAUCAGGAAAAAACUAUUUUUCACGAAGAGUGAAAUUCGGACCCUCGUUAACGGACUCAAAAAACAAGAUAUUCAUCAAUAAUGUUCUUAAAAGCUUUACUAUUUUUUUUCCAAUUAUUAUUGUCUAUACAUCAAUAAUACAAUAUCAUUUUUUUAAAAGCUAACUGUUGUAAUUAUAAUUAGAUUAAAAUAAGUGGCUUUAUCAAAAUUAAAUUAAUCAUUUUGUUCCACAUUGAUGAGUUGAAUUGAAAGUUUGUAAUUUAGAGUUUUUAAAAUUUGUAGAAGCUAGUUAUAGAACACGAACUUAGCUCAACUGACACAUGUAUAUAUUUAUGAACACGAGGUCCUGGGUUCAAAUUCGCACUUCUCAUUGAGAGGAUGAAAUGAAGAUCGAAACCAGUUGUAAUUCUUAGAAAAAAUGUGGAUUAUAAUUAUUCAAGGGACAUUUAAUUAAAAGGAUUGAGUUGGUAAAUGUUAUAGAAAGAUAAAUUCAUAGAGUUGACGUGAAUAACGAGCUAUUGGUGAAGCAACUCGUGUGCGAUUUUUUUUUACCCAUCAACUCAACCCAACCUGGAAGCGAGACACACCCCUCAACACUCCUAAUAAAAAAAAAGAAGAUCGAAACAUAUGGUAAAAUUAGAACGUAGGUGACAUAGAAGUUAGAAGUAUACUGUUUCUGAUAGAUGAAAGAAAAAGUACUAGUUUGGAAUUUCCCAUUUCUCUUUUUAUUUCAAAUUUAUAUAAUAAAGUUAUUCCAACAUUACUACUCCUGAAGAAGACAUCGAUGGAAAUUCUAAAUGGUAACAAAGAGAGGAUGCAGGCAGUAACCCAUGCAUCUACUCGAAAAGAUAAACUUGAUCAUAUCCCUUCCUGCAUUCACAAUAAUUCACACACACACAUUAAGAAAAACAACCAAAUUUUAAGAAAAGAAAAGGGAAAGGUUUAAAAAAGUAUAAAAAGAAUGGUAUUACCCAGCCUUGCCAUUAUAAAUUGGGCUGUAGUUGUAGAUAAGUUUCUCAAGAACCUUUUCUGCUGGGGGUUGGUUUAUUGAUCUCCUUGCCUCACUACAUGCAUUAAACCAACACACAAAAUAUAACCCUUUUUUUCUUAUUUUUAUUAUCCUUUUAAAUAUAACGAUGUCGACGUAAAUAUGAUUUAAAUGAACGAACUAUUUUCAAACAUACUAAAAUAAAUCUAACCUGACCAAGUGAUGGGCUACGUGGUGUGUCAAUUCAAUGGCAUAUUCUGUGUGUGGGAUUGUAGAAAUACCCCAUUCAUAUGAGUUUUUCUGCAACAUUAUAUUAGUUGGAAUUUAUACCUGAAGCUUUAGAGUUGUUGUAUCAAUAGAGAAAAAUUAGUAUUAUUUAAAAGACAAUUACCUCAGGAUUCCAUUGGAAGAUAGUUAUCGGAUAGUUUCGAGCAUUUGCAGUAGAAACAUAGACCUAAUUACAAUGAUACAACCAUAAAAAAAAAUCAAUUUGUCAUUUGUUCCAAAUAUAUGAAAAUUAGUUUUAAUAGAGUUUUGUAUCAAACAUAAGUUUUGAUUGUCCCAAAAUCAAUUCUACUUGAAUCUUUGUUUCUUAAAUCACACAACCAAACACACCUCUAAACAGUUUAAAUGAACACCAUGGAAUUUUAAUAUUAUUGACACAAAUAUAUAUGGAGAGUAAUGAGAGGAUGAUGUGUAUAUUAAAUUACCUUAUUGUUCUUGUCAACACUGGUUGUCAAGAUUUGAAAAAAGUCGGAUAAUCUUUCAUCUUGUUCAAAUGUUUCAGGUGAAAUGCCAUACUAUAUUCAACAAAAUUAACAACAAUACAAUUAAUAACCAAAACGUUACCCCACUGUAAGAGUACAUGUAAAGAAAAUAGGCUAAAAUUUUAAAGUAAGAAGCAAAAAAAAUGAAAGAGUUACCCAUGUAUGGAAUCGUUCUAAUUUUAAUAUGAAAAUUAGAGAACUAAAGAGGAAGCUCAAAAGCAAAGAAAAAAGGGUUUGAAACUCACUUUAUGGUUUUCCCAUGUAAUGCAAUCUUUAGUGGUCCUUAUUCGUAAGGAGAGUGGAACUCGACCAAAGAAAUAACAUAUAGAUCAAAUUCCACAUUGUUAUUCAUUAAUCGAAAUUGUAAGAAAUAACAAAUAGAAACUCCAUAUGUUAGUCAUGAAAUAUUGUAUUUGUGAAUCUAAAAUUUAAGGAAGCUUCAACUUACUUGAAAUAUAUAUUUGUAUAUGUAUGGAGAUGAGACUACAUAUAUGUUAUUAAAAAGUACAAUGAUAAACGUACCUUUGGAUGACAGUUCCUCUAAUAUUUGCAAAGUCGUUAAACUUCAAGGCAGAUGGAAAACGUGUGGCAUUGAAUGUCUCAAUAAUGUCAUUUCUCUAUAAAGAAAACAAAAUUAUAUUAUAUAAUAGAAAAUAAAUUAUCUCAAUUCUUACCUUAUAAGCAUAUUUUUACUAUAUUAUUGUUGUUAUCUUUUUAAUUAAUAUUGAUUUUCAUUGAGUUUGAACCGAGUAAGUUUUUUUUUUUUUAAUAAAAAAAAGAAGGUAAAAACAGUACAUUACCUGGCUAACCAUUGCGCUAAUGAUCUGAAAACCUAAGGAAAUGCCAUACAAAGGGACAUAAUCCCCAGCCUCAUUCCUACUCAAUAUUUGCUGCAUCCAAUAAUAAAUAAAUUUUUCAUUCCCAUUCAAAAUGAAAAAUAUGAUAUGAAUCAAAACUAUUUAAAAUAUAACUUACAAAAAUAAACAAAAAAAAAUCAUAAAUAAAUAUAUGAAGCAUUUACCUGGAAGAUUUUCUCAGCCACUGAAUAAUAUAACCCAUCUCUAACCCUCCCUCCUGUGAAGAUCACUCCAUUCACCAAACCCAUUUUCUGCCAACCAAAAGAAAUUUCGUUCUUAAAAGAUCACAUUCAAUUCAUAAUGAAUCAAGUUUUAAAUUUCUUCAACAGUGUAUUGAUUUCUAUUUUUUUUUUAAAGUUAGAAUACUAAAGGUAAUAUCUCCAAUAUCUCUAGCUUCCACUUAAUUAUGUUUGAAUUAAUUUGUUUCAAUCCACGUGUUAUGGUCAAUUCUUUGAAAGUCUCGUAUCAAUGAUGAGAUGAUGUUAUUGUUUCAUUCGUAUGGUACGUGUAUGGUUUAUGUCCCAACAAAAGUAGUCAAGAUGUCCCAACAAAAGUAGUCAAGAUUUUCAACGGCGGACGAUCUCUUAUAUAUACGUAAAUUUCCUUUUCAAAGGUGGUCAAUGGUUUGAUUUCAUUGGGGUGAGAUGACAGUGUAAUUGAUAAUUCGUCAGCACAGAAUCAUUAGUUUAUUACCUCUUCCAGAACCUCAGGUGGGUCGUUAUAGAUAAGAGGAAUAACUCUAGCGCCCGCGGAUUCGACGAACUUCACGUACGAUGCCGGAAUGUAGGACGCGGUGGUGGCAUUAGAGUACCUACCGGAGGCGCCAUCGCCAGGAUGAGAAAGGAUUCCGAUCACCGGACGGUAGUAGAGGGAGGGAUUGACUUUGGUACAAGUACGCAGUUGGAGGUUAUCGUCUGAUCUCUCAUUGUUCUGGAGUUGAGAAGGUAAGAAAAUGUUGUUAUAGAGAGGAUUGUGAGCACUGAUGGGUUUAACGAGACCGAUUUGGAAGAAGGAGAAGAUUAAGAGGGAAAUAGAGAGGAGAUUGAGGAGGGAAAUGGUGGAUCGGCGGCGGCCAUUGAAGAGAUGAGAGAGAUCAGCCGAAUUGAACAUUGUGAUCAGAAGAAAUUAAACAAUGGAGAGAGUUAAGAUAGAGAUGAUGAAAGGAAGGAAGAGAUAUGGAUUGAAUUUAUAGAUAAAUUUUGUUAUGCAGAUUUGUUUGAUAUUAAUUAUUGGAAUUCAUUAUUAUAAUAAUUUAGGGGCUUUGUCUUUAUUGAGAAACUUUCAAUCAUAAACUAACUAUUUUUUUGAAAUCCCUACGUGUUCUAAGUUUCAACCAUUUAUGUAUAUAUAUAUAAAAAUGAAAAAUACUUUUGUGGAUGGGAAUCAGUUGCAGUGUUUUUUCAAAAUCUGAACAGUAAACCCUAAUGAUGAUUGUAGUUAGGUCGACGAGUUGGGGUUGCUGCCUCAAAGUUCAUAUACUUAACGUACGUGUAGUAAGAUUAAUUAAUUUCAUUGUUGAAGCAAUAGCUAUUAAUAUUAACUCGGGUGAUUUGGAAAAAGUGGUAGUUUAAAAAAAUUGAAAAAAAUGGUAAUAGGUAAUAAAAGAUGGGAGCAUAAAUCAAUAAUAAACUAAUUGUGUUUAUAUAUAUAUAUAUAUAAAAGAUGAAUUUUGUUAUUUUAAAGUUUUGAUAUUGUAAGCUUAGAACAAAGGUUAGAACGUUCUACCCUCCUACAAGUUCAAAAUUUUAUUAAAAAAAUAUAAAAAACAAAUUUAUAAACAUGUGUAUAUAUAAUAAUAAAUAAUAAUUUAAAUGGAGUGGGUUCACUGACAUUUUUCUUUUUCCUUCUUUAAUUUGCACUACUCAGAGACAGAAAAUUAAAAAAGAAAAUAGUGUGGAAGAGAUGCAUUCCAAUGAUGUCAAAUUAAUUUUGAAAACAUCCAUUUUUUUCAAAUAAUUGUGUUGAAAUAAUGGAAAGGAUUUGAACCCAAUCAAGAGAUAUGAAAUCUGGAGGUUGAAUCCGAAUGCUUUGGUAUACAAUUCAUGUGUAUUUUAUGUUUUCAAAAGCAACGAUAGGAUAGGAACGUGUUUGAUAUACUUAUUUUUAAAAACAGUUUAAUUUUUAAAGGGCAACCCUUGAAAUAACCCAUUUUCAAAAGCUAUACAUUGUUAUUUUCUUUGUUUUUAAAUCUUGUUUAUAGAAAUUAUAAACAUACAUGGUAAUAUACUAUUCCAUUUUCAAAUUCACAGACAAAUUUUGAAUUCAAAUUUCAGAUUUUUGAAUGGAUGGUUUAAAGUUCAAAUACAAAAUUGCUAUAAAUUUGAAAGUGUAAGAACUAAAUUUAUUACAACAAUUUGGGAUAAAUAUGGAACCUCUCAUCUCAAAUGUCAUGUCGAUUAUCUACCGAAUUAAUCUCAUUUUCAUAUAUAAAAAUAUUGAUAUUUUCAUUGCAUUGAUUGUUUUGGAUUCUACAAAUUAUUUGCUGCGGUCCCCUAACAUCUUGAUCUUGUCUGUCAAUUGACAAACUUUUGUAGCGUAGAUAUGAUAACUUGCUUUAAUAGUAUGCACCUUCGACCAUAUCUAUAUUUAUAGUGCAAACAAACAAACGGUAAAUUUUUAGUAGGGCUGACUGGGAAUAUAACAAAUAACUAUAAAUUAAUUAAUGAUAUAACAAAUCUUUAAAAAAAAUUGCAAGUAUGACAAAUUUUAAUUUAAUUCCAAAGUAGAAAACAAAAAUGACCCUAAAUGCACUUUAUGUAUUCCUUCCAUCUUCCACUUUCUUCUCUUUUCUUCGUAUUCCGAUUUUCUUUUGCGAUUAUGGUGCUUUCGGUAUUUGGCUUCGCUUCACAUUCUCCACUUCAUCAUCUUCCAUUUUCUUCGCUUCAAGUUUUCGGCUUCGCUUCAGGAUUUCCCCUUCAGUUCACGUUCUUCCGAUAUUUUUGUUUUCUGUUUGGUCGUAAUAUUAAUAUAUUUGAAAUAGAUUUUCUUCUUUUUCUAUUUGUUUAAAAUCGAAUGAUUGAUAUAUUUGGUUAGUAGAAGUUCAGUGAUAUGUUAAGUUAGUAGAAGAUCUAAGUUAAACUGCAUUUUUUGUAUGAUGUUGUUUAAAGUCUAUCAGUGAUAUGUUUCAUGAGGAUGUUGUACUUGUUUGUGUUGGGAUAUUGAACUAGUUUUUUUGGGAUGUUAAUCUGUUUAUUUGCGGUAAAGUGUAUUGGUGGAUGUUUUAGUUUAAGUGUUGUUUCUUAAUCUAUCAAUGAUACAUUCUAUCAUUGAUAGACUUGAAAUAUGUUUAGUAAACACUUUAGUUUAAUGUGAAAACAUAUUUUGUGUGUUAUUGUUUAGGGUCUAUUAGUAAUAUGUUUCUGUCACUAAUAGACUUGGAAGAUGGUUAGAUUGUUUUCAUUUUAAUAUAUAUUUAUAAACUUUAAUUCAACAUUAUCAUUUUAGGCUGUUCAAAAAAAAAAAGAAGAUGAAAAUGAUGGAAAUAGCAAAUUAUGUUAAAAAUGUUAUGCCGAAGAGACAACUUAAUUACCGAUCAAAUAAAAUGUUGGAGAAUGCAAAAGACUAGAAUAUUGCAAGAAACCGAUUGAUUUGUCUCUAGUUUUGAUUUGCAACUCUCUCAUUGAGUAAAUGAAUAUUGUAUUAUUAGUUUUGCGGAUAUUUCAUGAUAGAAAAGAUCAAAUAUAGACUUCAUAUUUUAUUUGAUUUUGUUCAAUUGAUAUAGAAAAGUGUUGGACCACACGUUGAAUAUCGCAAAUUGACUGAUCUUCAAUAGAUGUUGAAGUUUAUUAAUGAUAGAUCAUAAUGAUGAAAAAGACUUCACAGUGACAUUACCUCUUCAUAUUUAGUUUAUUUUUAUCAUAUCAUAGGUUGAAUAAUCAUUGCAAGUUAUAUGCUUUUGUGUUCCCAUUAAGAAAUUAGUAUUAUACAUGUUAAAUAAUUGCAAAUUAAUAUUAAUUGGUGCAUUUUAUUGAGAAAAAGUUUUGUUAAUAUACAUGUUGAAGUCUAUCAUUGAUAGAAGCUAUCAAUGAUAAACUUCAUAGUAAAGUUUAUAAGCGAUAGAAACUAUCAAUAACUAUAAAUUAAACUCCAUUAUGACAUUACUUCAUAUUACUACUUUACAAUAAAGUAACUACUGCUAACAAAAAAAAAAAUGUUCUCUAUCUUCAAGCAGAAUGAUUCUUAUCAACAACUAAUGUUACACCAUUUUGUGACCAACGGGACGACAAUUACUACGUUUUGAUUAUUUUUCUUCUCAUUAAUCAUUUUUUUUGUUUUCGUGGUCCUUAUGCUUGACGCUUGCAUCGAUUAUUUUUUGAAUCAUUGCUAUAUAUAUAUAUAUAUAUAUAUAUAUAUAUAUAGUUUAUCAUCCUAGUGUUACAUUCAUUGCAUUAUAUUAGUGAUGGCCUAGGAUACGAGUCUAUUAUUGAUAGACUACUAUCAGUGAUGGACUAGGAUACAAAUCUAUCAUUGAUAUACUACUAUCAAUGAUAACUUAGGAUAUUAGUGAUAGUUUAGGAUAGGGUUUAAUAUCAAUGAUGACCUAGAAUACGAGUCUAUCAUUGAUAGACUAAUAUCACUGAAGGACUAGGAUUUUCUAUCAUUGAUAAACUAAUAUCACUGAUGGACUAUGAUACCGAGUCUAUCAUUGAUAGACUAUUAUUAGUGAUGGACUAGGAUACGAGUCUAUCAUUGAUAGACUGCUAUCAGUUAUAACUUACUAUAAGUGAUAACUUAGGAUAUUAGUAAUACACUAGGAUACAGGCCGUCUAUCAGUGAUAGACUAACAUCACUAUGCUCAUAUUAACUAAUCCAAUUAAUAGUCUAUUAGUGAUAAUUUAUAUUCAUCGAUAUUUUUAGAAAAAAAAAUCAAUUUCUUUUAAUCUAAAAAUGUAGAAGUGAUAGAAAAGUUCUUAAUAUGCUCAAUUUCUACGAAUCCUCAAACUGAUGAAGUCCAAUACAAGUGAAAUUAAACACAUUUUUUAAUAUAAAAAUACUAGUAAAAUCAAUUGAAUUGAACAAAAUCAACCUAGAGUGAUAAAAUUAAAUCAAAUUGUAAAAAUUGGAUGAAGUAAAAUUUUAGGGAAGAAUCACAUCUUUAAAAAAAAUAUCAAACUGAGAUGGAAGAAAAUCGCGAAGAGAAGAAAUGAUCUUAAAGUAGGAGAAAAUCAUAGAGAAGAUGGAUAAUGGAGAAACAAUGGUGAAGAUGGAGAAUGGGAAACGACGGUGAAGAUGGAGAACGGAGAAAAAGACGAUGAAUAUGAAGAAUGGAGAAAACGAAGAUAUAAAAAAUGGAGAAAAUCGUGGAGAAUAUGGAGAAGGAGAAAAUUGUGGAGAUUUCUUUUAAAACAAGGACAAUUUUGAAAUAUUUUUAAAAAGAAUACAAAAUUUGUUAUAUUUACAAAUUGUUUAGGAAAUUGUUAUAUACUUAAUACUUUAUAUUUUAUGCCAAAAAAAAACUGCUAUUAAUUAUAAAAUCUGUCUUUAGUAUAAACUUGUUCAAGUAUAGUUGUACGAAUUAAUUUAACUAAUUUAACUUAUGCUUUACAAUCGUAGAUUUAAUAUUGUAUUUGAACACGUUACACUCUUUCUUCAGAAAAAAAUGAAUUAUAUUUGGAUGGGAGUAAGUAUGAAUGAAGAGGGGAUGAAGCAUAAAAGUCAAAAUUUGAAAAUUUGAUGAUGCUAUGACUAUGAGAAUUAUUAAACAGAAAAAAAGUGUCAUAUCUUUAUCCCUUUGCUUUUAACUAUUUCUGUCUCAUGGCUUGGCUUGGCUUUGCAUCAUUAUUGCUCAAUUGUUUGAGUACCUCUCUUUCUUCUAUCAUAUGCAUAAUCAUUCAUCCAUCUUUUUCCUUGGGUAUAACAUAUAAUACACGUGUGAGAAGACUAAAUACAAAUUAAAAUUUUCAAUAACUAAUUUAAAAGAGAUUAUUUUUUAUAAAUAUAAUCAAAAUAUUUGGUCACCUAACCAAAAGAAAAAAAAAAAACUUAUUAAGUUAACUAUUUUUCUAAAUAUUAUCUUCUUUUUCACCAUCUUUCUCCUUACCUUACUGCCACAUUUUUUCAAUUUUUUUUAAAAAUAUUCAAACGUUAUUUGUUUCAAAUUACCAAAUGCAAAAUAUUUUUUUUAAAAAAAUGAAAGUAGUUUGAUUAUUUAGAUCAGGUGACAAAUAUAAAAGAUCGAAAAAAAUCGUAGAUAUAGUCAAAUUUAAAUUUGUAGUAUACAAACAAAAAUAGUCAAAUUUAAAGUAUCAAGUAGCCUUUAAAAUUAUAUUUAGAUUUGAUACGUUAGAUGAAAUGGUCUAAACAUGUUUGAUAUAUUUUUUAAAAGAUUGGUAAAGUUUUGUAGACUAAUUUUUUGUGUGGAUAUUUUAAAAAAAUAAUAAAAGAAAAACCAAAAUGUCAGAAAACCAUAAUUAAAAUUGAGUAAAAACGUAGAUAUAACAUUGAUUCAAAGGAAACCCAAAGCAGCUUCAUAGAUAUGUAAUGACCUAGAAUUUCAUUCAACUUAUCUUCAAUCUCAAUAAGCUUUGCAGAUCGAACCCAUCAUAAACAAACGAUUCUCCACAGUAAACAUGAUGAUCAUCUCACCAUUACUAUCAUAGACAUUUGGAUUAAAUGGUACGAAUUUGUGGAUUGUUUCAUGAAUAAACGUGUCUUUUUUUAAAAUAAUCAAUUUGAAACAGAAACGUGAUUAUUGAUCAAAUAACCACAAAUAGUCUAUAACUAUGCCUCUUUUUCACAAUGCUUUUGUGAACUUUUCUUUUGUAAUGAUUCUCUCAUAGACAUUAUAUUUCUCCCUUGUGUAAACAUUGUUCAAGUUCGAUUUAUUUCUAUAAAGUAUAUUUCGUUGGAUUUUGUGGACGCGAUAUAUAUGUUGCUUCCAUGACAAAUACUCAUAUAACAUUAACUAUAUAACACGAACAUAGCUCAAAUACCCACUCACCGUUAUAAAAACCACAUUGAAAUUCAUCUAAAAAAAUCCAAGAGGAUUGCUUGACCAACAGGGAGCCUCCAAACAAAACAAAGGUAGAGCAAGCCACUGAUAAAAACAAUCCAUCCCAUCAAAUAUUGAAUGCUUGUCUAAAAAUCUAUUACAAAACUAAAUAUUCAACCUUGAAUGUAUAUAUCAAAUGAGUAAAUGUGGAGUGAUUCUAAAUGAGAUUUGUCGAAUAGGCAUUGCUACAAAUUUGGUCUUAUAAAAAUUAGUAUUGACCAUAAAGGAAAGAGAUAUAAUCCGGGACUUCUUGUCCACAACUACAUACAAGUGGCAAUUGAGUUAAGCUCACGUUGGCUAGCUUUUACAACUUCUACAAAUUUUAAAAACCCUAAACCAUAAACUUUCAAUUCUAACUCAUUUAAUUUUGAUAAAGUCACUUAUUUUAAUCUAAUUAUAAUUGCAACAGUUAACUUUUUAAAAAGUAAUAUUGUGUUAUUGAUAAAUAGAAAGUAAUAAUUGAAAAAAAAUAGUAACGAUUUAGAAAUAUUAUUGAUGAAUAUCGUGUUUUUUGAGUCCGUUAACGAGUGUUUGAAUGUCAUGCUUUGUGAAAAAUAGUUUUUUCUUGAUGAGCAAUGCCCCAUCAAGAUAUCAUUUUUCUUGAUUAGUCAGGUCCAUGAUCUUAUUCUAAACCCAAAAUUAUAAAAAAAAAAAUGAUGGAUAAUACUCAGCGAGAUAUCAUUUUUCUUGAUGGACAUUGCCCAUGAUUUUUUUUUUUUUUUUUUUUUGUCUUUAUCCAUGAAGAAACCCUAGACUCAUUAAGAAAAUUAUAAACUCAUCAAGAAUUCUAAAACAAAUAUAUUAAUUUUUUUUAUGAUGGUUAUUGCAAAUCAAGAAAACCUAACUAACUUGAUGGGCAUUGCCAGUAAACUAAUAUUAUAUCCUUGAUGUUUAUUGUCCAUCGAAAAAUAGUUUUCUUAAAGUUUGCGGACCAUCAAUAAAACUAAGAGAACUUUGUCCAUCAAGGAAAUCAAGAAUUCACAUUUUUUUACUUUUUUUUGUAUUUCUUUAGCCAAAUAAGGGGGACUUUUCUUGACGUACAUGACCAUCAAGAUAAACAUUGUAUCAAGAAAAAUAUUUUUCUUGAUGGGUCCUUUGCCAUCACUACAACAAGUCAUAGUUCCCUCGACGUCAGAGUGCGUCGGGGAAGGUUAAAAGACAUCGGGAGAUGGUCUCACAAUGUUUUCCUCAACGUCGGGAUGCACAUCAGAACAUCUGUGUCGGGAGAACUCUUCUCGACGCACCAAGUGCAACACGUCGAAAUGCCCUUUCCCCAACGUUUUUUAUGCCGACGCACAAUUACUUAACGCCGUGCGAGCUUUCCCCGACGCAUACAAAAUGGCGUCAGAGAAAGACUUAUUUCCCGAUGCAACAGUGCGUCGAAAAUAAUUUGAGUUUUUUUUCUCGUUUCAGUUUCUAUUCAAUUCCAUAUGAUUUAAUUCAAUUAAAACUGAACAACCAAAGUUAAUAAUUGAAUAUAAUGGCAAAUGAAAAUUUUAUUAUAAUUAAAUAAAUGUUUCAUUAUUGUCGUACAUUCAAAUUUGUUAAAAUAAAAUUACAUGAAAAAGAUUAAGAUAAUUUCUUCGGUUGACGCCAUAAUUCAACAAGUCCAAACCUACGACGAAAAAAAAGUAAAUAUAUAUAAUGCUAAUAUCAAUAGUAUUGCGAAGUAAACAACAUUAAAGUUCAAAAAUAUGUAGCGCAAGUUCUCGACUCACGGUCCUCUCUGUGCCCAAGUCAUUUCUUCAAUCAUCUUCAUCAUUUUUUUUCAUUUGUUGGGCCUAUAGCUCGAGCAUCCUUCUCUGCUCUUCAAUCAUGCACAUAGCUUCUUGAAGCUCGAGCCUUUGCUGCUCAAUGAGAAUUACAUUAGCUUAUUUAAACGUCGUAAAGUGUGAAGAUGUAAUCGAAGAAGUGCUAACAAUUCCAAUUCAAUUUUCUGUUAAACUUUCUAUUCAAAAGAAUUCCAAUUUUCUAUUUCAACUUUCUAUUUAGAAUUACUUCAUUCAAAACACCUUCCCUAACAAUUCCAAUUCAAUCCCCCUUCUUUAACUUUCAAUUCUCACUCCCCUCUCUCCUCCCUUUAAUUAUUUUCAAUUCAAGCCCCUUCUUUAAUCUUUUUUUUCACCUCACCCCUCUUUAACUUGUGAAAACCCCAUUAUGUUUUCAAUUCAACCCCCACAAUUUCAAUUGAUUUAACCCCUCCCUCUUCCAAAAUUUCAAUUCAAUCCCCUUCAAUAUAUAUAAAUUUAUAAAUCUAAAAAUCAAUUAAAAUUCAAAUUGAAUACCAAAAUCUAAUUCAAAAACUAAUUCAAAAUCUUAUUCCUAAAACAUAAUUCUAAUUCAAAUCUAAAUAAAAUAAAGUACUAAUAUCAAACUAAUACUUAUCGGAAUACAAAGGCGAGCAGUGGAAGACGACGAUGAGCGAAGAAAACCGACGGCAAGAACUUCUCGAUCUCCCUCCCUUUCUCUUUCGAUUAUGUACAUCACAUAAUGCAGUGGGUUUUAAGACAAAGGACCUCCCGACACAGACCAAAAACGUCGAGAAAAGUAUGACCAUUGCCGACGUAGUGACUAAUGGCAUCGGAAAUGGUCAUAUUGUUCCCAACGUCUCUGACAUUGCGUUGGAAUAAGGCGAACGAUAUUAUUUAAUCCUUCGACCUUCCCCAACGCAAGACGGUUGACGUCGGCUUAUCUCUAGGAAUCCCUGACGCAACACUGUACACAUCAGGUUUUCUUUUUGUUUUUCCAACGUUUAUUUUAGCACGUCAGGAGUACCUGCGGCAUUCCCGACGUCCACAUGGGUGUGUCAACAUACGUCCCCUCCUCCAACGUUAUGGUUUGUGUGUUGAAGGAAAAGGCUUCUGCCAACAUCCUAUUUUCGACUCAAUUUUGUGUGUCGAGAAAACACGGAUUUCUUCUAGCGCAUGACCAUCAAAAAAUCAAAAUUUGUAUGCGUCAAGAAAGACCAAAUUUGUAAUAGUGAAAAUGUUUCGAUACAAUCGACAACAAAUGGAUCGGAGGUUUCUGGUUUACAAAGGAUCGCAUUAAGUGUUAGGUUAUCAUCUAUAAUGUCCCAAAUUUUGAGGUAUUUCUCUUAGCUUAUUUGAUGAUUUUAUUAAAUUUUAAGGAUUUUUGGGUGUUAUGUUAUUAUAGUUUGCUGUUAAGGAGAAUUUAUUUUGGUGGGAAAGAAAUGAAUUUAAAAGGAAAAGGAAUUGGAAAUGGAGAAGUGGAAAAGUAAUGUUAAGUAAAAUGUAACGAUUAUUAUUAAUUAUUUUAAAACCCUUCUUGAUCUACGUGCAUCUCCUUCCCCAAUAUUUCUUCAUCUUCUUCCUUCUUCACGAGUUACAACUGCUGCCACCCCUUUUUUCUUAUUUUUCUUCUCCGUUCAAUCUCCUCCAUCAAUCGUUUGAGCACGUCACAUCGUCGACGCCCAAGCCGAAGCAUUUUGUCAUGAAGUGUCGUCGUCGCACACCGUUUGUUUCCCUCGCAUCCGACAGCCACGCAUAGUGGAGUGCCGCCACGACAUCCUUUGUUCGCGCCUAUCUCCGUUCGCAAAGUACAGCCGUCGACCACCACUGAUGACUGAACUGUUAGCAUUGAACUGAUUAAAUGAAGGGUUGUUUAUGUUAAUGUAUAGAUAGUGUACUCUAGAAUUAAUUGACUAAACUAAGGUGGGUGACGUUAAUGUAUAAGUACAACCGUUUGAGGAACCGUUAUGCUAAUGUUUGAUUAUGUAGUAUGUGUUGAACCGAAAGAAUGAUAUGAUGGUAGAUUGAAUUGUAAAUUGAACUGACUAUUUAAAAUGUUAAAAUGGACGGAUGGAAAUUGUUAGCUUUAUCUAUAGGGUUGUGUGUCUUGCAGGUGUUCUACAAGAUUACGCAUCCUUUAGAAGCAUAGAUGCAUCCUUUAGGAGCACUAGACUAAUAUGUGCACUCUUUGGGAGCAAUACACUGAUAGGUGCACCCUUCGGGAGCACUAGACUGAUGGGUGUAUCCUUUUGGAGUACUAGAUUGAUUAUGUGCAUCAUAUGGGAUCACGAGACUGUUAUGAUGUAGGAUAAUAUUGAUUAUGUGCCUCCUACAACAUCAAUUUAAAUGUGAACUUUAAGGUUAUCUUAGUUUAAAAUCCAAACUAAUAAAUGUAUCAAAUUAAAUCAUAAUGAUGGUGGAUUUAUUUGUUUGCUUCUUCUUUAAAAUUUUAUAAUUGGAGAUUUUAAAUUAGUACAACUAUGAAAGUUAAAAGUUAGGAUACAUUUAUAAAAGUUGAAAAACUAAUUUGAUAUAAUCAAUUGUGGAGUUUAAAUUGAUAUUUUCUUUUUUUAUUUGUACAACUCAUCUCAUUAUUGCAUUUCUUCAAAUCCAAAAAUCAACCAAUACAAAAAGAUAAAAAGAUCUUCACCCAUGUGAAAAAGAAGAGGCAGUAACUUUUGCAACAACCACAGUAAUAUCAUCAAUUUUCCCUCCACAGUGGCUCCGCCCAGCUUUCCGAGCCUCCACCGCAAACGGCCCAUCUUUAACUGAAUCCAAUGAAUUAUACCACGCCAGCUCCGCCACCAUUGUCGCCAAAUCCACCGCCGUCUCCGCCACCUCCGCCGCCAACAACUCCACAAUCUCUCUUUCAAACACGUUGUCCAAUAACCCGUCCGUUCCCACGACGAUUAUAUCUCCGGCCUCCAUCCUAAUCUUUCCACUCCACGCCACUGUCGGCUUAUCGAACUGCUCCCUCGUCCCCAUCUGGUACGGACAGUUAAACCCUCGCCGCUGCACCGGCGACCGGUAAACCAACUUCUCUCCUCUGAAAAUCAUGAACCCACUGUCGCCUAGAUUCGCCGCCCGUAAAAACCACCCGUCGAAGGAGAUUAGACACGCCGUUGACGAUCCGGCGGCGGUGGUCCGGGAAUGAGCCUCCGUCAUUACGCGUUUUGGAUACACGAUGCCCUCGGCGCCGACUACGGAGGCAACGCAGUUUCUCAUGUGGUCUCUGGCGUACUCGCCGGCGUCGAUGCCCUUUAAAGCCCAGCCACCGACGCCAUCGGCCACGCCGGCGGUAUUUUUGUCGGAGAUUACGAAGUGGGCGUCUUCUCCUAAGGGUUUUGAAGGGUUGUCUUUGGGAAUAUAAGAGGAGCCCAUCUCAACAUUGAGAAUGGGAGCCGCAGCCGCCACCAUUGAUGGCGUUUGAUGAAGAGAUUCUUGGGUUCUGAAAAUUGUUGGGACAAAUUUUCUUUUGAUUAUCAUUAUGAAAAAGGGAUGAACAAAUUAAACAGGGGAUUGUAAAAUUGGGAAAAAAUCAAGAUUGAUUGAUUUAUAUAUAUACAUUUAUAUAGUGGAAAAGAUUAAGAAGUAUUUGGAUUCGGAUUAGGAAAGUUCUAAUUUUUAAAUUUUAAGUAGAUAUAGAAAGUGAUUAAAACGUAUAAAAUAAUGAACUCCUAAUUCGAUUUUGAUUUCCCUCAUUUAAAUAAAAAGCAGGUUUGAAUUAAACUGUAGAAAAUUAAUUUAGAAACGUUCACUCGAUUUUGGUUGGUUAUCUCAGUUUGAGGCUGAAACCGGAAUCAAAUCGAACUGAGUUUUAAAUAAUCUCAUACCAUAAAUAUAUGUGUCUACGACCUCUUACACGAUUAUUUUGUUUUCUAUACGAUUGUUUACUCUCUUACUAUUUGAUUUGACUUUAGAAUCGAUUUAAUGUCUUAAAUCCAACUAAACCGCGUAAGAAAUCAUUUCAAUUUAAAACAAAACCACAUCAAAGAUGAUGCAUUCAAUUUGAAUUUGGCUAUUAACUAUUUUGCAUAUCACCAUCCCUAAAUACAUAAUAAAAUGUCUUUGUUAAGGAAAGAGAAAAAGAAAAAGAAAAAACAAUCAAAUUGUGCACUUAAAUAUUAAAUGAGUCGGCUGUAGUAUUCCUUUACUAAGAAGGAAUAUAUUUUAGAUAAAAUGAAUACCUUUUUUAAAAAAUCACAUUAACCAAAUGGUUUUGGAAUCCUUCUAUAUGUAUGUAUAUAUGUAAACUCAACACCUUCUAUUUGAGCGAUCUUCCGCCCACCCCGGCACUGAAAUUAGAGAUGGAUUCUUUCUACAUUCCCAAAGACAACCCUUCAAAGCCCAUCGGAGAAGAAGCUCAAGAGUUUAACUGUCCGUAUAAGCUUGGGAAAGAACCGGGUUUGAAUGAACCGAUGGAUGCGAUGUGGCGGAAUGUUACUGUAAUGGCCGGAGAUAUUGUGGUGGUCGGAACUGACGGGUUGACGGACAACAUAUUCGCCGGAGAAUUUGGUCGCUCAAUUGGCCGUGGUAUACAACGAGAAAUCUGUUAGUGCAAACCAGAGGAAAAAUGGAAUGACGGAGAUUGACUUCCUAAGUGUUGUAAUUAGGAUGUCGAAAACAAAUUGAUGUGCCAUUACAAACCACUUGGAUGACGUGUGUGACAUGUGCAUGGUGACAUGGUUAUGCUAGCCUAGAUCCACAAAUCAUUUUCGUGUUAAGAUGACUCAACUCGAAAACACAUAAAAAAAUUCAACCCAACUAUUACAAUUUGGUACCCUAAUCUUCACUUAAUACAUAAUUUUAUUAAGUUAAUACAUAAAUAUUUUACUAUUCGUUGACGACUUAAAAUACUUAUUGACAUUUUCAAAUAAAAUAAAAUUGAAUAUUCUAUCGAUCAUAAUUGAUAAAACAGACAAAAGUAUCUAUCAAUUAUCUAUUAAGGGCUUAGUUGAGAUAAGAUAUUUGGAGAGUUCAUAUGUCUAAGGGAUUAGGUGUAAUUUUUUUAUUUUAAAUAAUAUGUUUCUUUUAAAAAAAAUUAUUCAAUAAUUUUUCCUAUCCUUGCUUGAAUUAAAUAUGGAUUGCAUUUUUUUUUCAUUUUGGUAAUGAACAACAAUUAACCUACUAUGUUUUUUGCACCAACAUGGAUAAAUAAAAUAUAAAACAAAUGAGAAAUCAAAACUUAUUUAUUUCUCAUUUUUUCCAUAAAUUUUAUUGUUUUAUUUUUAUUUUUCUUCUCAUGGUUGAGUUGUAUUUUUCCUCUAUCAUGAUUUUUUUAUUUGAAUCUCCCCUGCCAUCUUAGCCAUGGAUGAAAUGCUAUCAUAUUUCUACAUUCAAUUUCUCCAAAUUUAAAGAAUCAUCAAAUAAUAUACGUUCAUUUUCACUAAUUCUUACUAAAAAAAUAUUUAAAAACAAUAAAUCUUAUGAUUAUUAUUUUUUUUUUGUUAUUUGUUAAUUUUGCUUUGUUUUUUCAUCCUAUUUAAUGACGUAUAUAGUUUCCAAAUACUUAACACUCAUUUCAUAUGUGAGUUAUAUGUAUAUAUAUGUACACACACAUACCAUCAACAACAUAAAAACCAAUGAGUUUUUUAAAUGCUUGGACAAAUAAAUCUAUUAAAAUGAUCUAACCAUCACAACUUUACAAUAUCAAAUUACUAUAAAAACGACUAUUAGCAUUAUAAACAAGUAAUUUCAAUUUUGUACUUAAAAGCACUUUUACCAACCAACUUAUUUUUCUAAGAUGUAAAAGCACUUGUCAUUAUAGUUUAUUAUCAAAGGUGAUUUUCCUUGAAUUUUAUCAUAGAGAGGUAGUUGUUGGAAUCCAAAGUUGAAGAUGAUUGUCGAAGUUGAAUAUCCAAUGUGAUUUUCGCCAAAGUUUGUAGUUGUAGAUGGUUGUCAGAGAAGUUAGUUGCAGAAAGCUAAUCUUGGAAAUGGUCACAAGAGUUUGUUGUCGAAGCUUGAAAUUCAUCGCACAAAGGUGGUCAUCAAAGUUGAUUUUUCAUCGAAGUAUGUUAUUGGAACCAAAACUUGGUCAUCAACGUUUGUUAUGCAAAGUCGGUCGUUGGAGGUGGCCACUGAAGUCUAUCAUCAGAGACAGUUAUUGAAGCCAAAAAUCAAUCAUCGAAGUUAGAUGUGUGAAAAUGGUAGUUGCCAAUGGUAGUCGAUAGGUGAACCUAUUGGAACCAUUAGGGAGAUGGGAGUUAGAGUGAGUUGGUACAAUAUACCAACCCAACUCCACCAAUAUGUAAAUUUGAUGAGCUAAACAAUGAGUUGAUAUAUUAUAACAACUAAACUCAUCUCAAAUGGGUGUGUCAAACCCCCUUCACAUCUGUAUUUUAUAAAUCUAAAGGAUACAUCAUAUAUCAAACAGAAGCAAAAGACAAAAAUACAGAAUAAAGGAAAAAGAACAAAUUUGGUAAAAUGAUUUUCUGUUGAAUAGGCCUACAUCUCAUAAUCUCAUAAACAGCCAAAAUGUCACAAAACGACCUUCAUCAAACUUUGCUGAAGGCAGAUUUUACUAUUAAGGCUGUUACCUAAUCAAAUCACAUCUAUGUUCUUAACUGUCAAUAACACCUCACUUUACAAAAUCCAGAGCCACCAUCCUUCAAAGUAGCUUCACCAUUGCGAUCAACCUUCAUAGAAUCAGUUUAUUUGAUACCCUCCAAUUCGUUAACCUUUGUCGAGUCAUCUUCAACAUUAUCAUCCAUAAUACUAGACUGCAUUUUGCCAACAGAUUUGUCCUGCAACUUUGCCAAGGCAGCAGUGUUGUUAAUAGAAAAAAUGAACAUGAAGUUAAAAGCAUAGUGAGAGAUUGAUUUGAUGAACUAGCAGACCUUUGACACUUCUGACUUCGUUAAGGAACAACCAAGAGCUUCGCCCUUUAACACGACUGCAGGAAGCAUUUCAAUGUCGCACCCAAGAACCUUGCAUACAACUAAAGUAUAUGCCCUAUGAGCCAGCAUUCCCGUUUUCAACAUUUUAGUUUUCUGAGGCUUCUGACCCUGAUUCUGUGUAUUGUUCUUCCCUAGAUGAGUAGAAUGCUGGAGAAGGCGUCUACAGGUCUUAAAACACUUUGAUUUCCUUCCUGCUACUUGGCAAGCUAAACAGGUAAAUUCUCCAUCGCCAUAGUGGUUCUCAUAAUAUCUUCUCAAGUUUUCAUUCUCGGUGAACAACUUCAGAAAGAAUUUGAACUCUUCGCUCUCCUCAGCUCCAUCCAUUAACUCCUUUUCACUAACAUCAUCAUCGUUCAUAGAUCCAAAGAAAGCUGCAUUAAAUUCUUUACAUGCUCUCAAAACUGUUACCUGCAACAUUUCGACUUAAAUGCUCAUCAGCAGAAACUACAUAUUUUGAACAAGGCAUUCGGUUAGUGCUACCAAGGAACCAUUAGUUUCUUUUUCUAAUUAACAUAAGACAAGUAACUGCGUGCUCAUAAAGAACACCUGAAUGGCUGAACCGAAUAUAGCUUAGUUCAAAACUGCAUAGAUUGUUUUCUUCAUUAACAAAACUUCAAGACCUUGCAAAUUUGAAAAGAGCAAAUGCAAUAAGAUCAUCUUACAGGAAAAUUAUCCAUUUCUUCGUCGCUUUCUCCCAUGCCUGAAAUUGAAUUAUCUGCAUUUCCUACUUGCAGCAUGACAUCAUUAUCCUCCCAGGCAUCAUCAUUCUAUAGUGAAAAGCAAUCAAAAUGGAUACUUUACACAAGAAACCACAGAGAUCAAAUAAAAGUUAAUCCCGUAAUUGCAUGAAAACCAACCUCUCCAGAAACCCAAUCUUUGGAAUUAGAAGUUGGAUCUUCAGCUGUCUUUACUUCCUCCAAUUUCUGUUCAUCCUCAUUGACAUUCACCGAAACCACUUCAUACUCAUUAUCAACAUGAAUUUCCUCUAGCUGAACCUACAAUUAUGUCAUAAUAUAAAGCAAUGCCAUUAUAAAAGAAUUCAACUUCGAACACACGGGAAGGCCAGUAAAGUACCUUCAAGUCUCCUGAAUUGGCUAAUGAUCGACUAAGUGGCUCGCCCUUCAACACAAUCGUUGGAAGUCGAUCAACAUCCCAACCAAAAACCCUGCUUACAACCAGACCAAAAGCUCUAUGAGCUCGCUUCUUCUUCGUCCUGGAUAUCGAAAGCGAAUGUUGAACAAGCCCAAGACAGUUCUCAAACCUUUUCCCAGAUUUCUUUUUCCCCAUUCCACCACAAACCAAGCAACAAAACAACCCGCUUUCACAAUUCUUCUCGUAAUAAACCCUAAGUUCUUCAUUCUCCACGAACAUCUUCAAAAAGAAUUUAUACUCUUUACUUUCCAUCAUUUCCCAAUCAUCUUCAUCCUCCUCCUCUUCUUCUUCGUCACUCUCUGAAUCGGCAUUUCUAGCAAAAAAUUCCCGGCAGGCAUCGGAACCCUCGUCUUGCAAUUGCAAUGCUGCAAGAUUUUGUCGGUCUUCAGACGAUACAGGCUGAGCUGCGGGAGUGGGAACGGGCUGAAUUGGCGGCCACCAAGAUGAGGUGGAGGGCUGAUUUUGAAGCGGCUGGGGACAGGGCCAGUUGGGGGCGGAGUCUUGUGGUUGUGGUGGGUCGGGGCGUGGUUUUUUCUUGUUCUUGUUCUUGUUCUUUGGCUUAUCUGGACCUAUGGGUCUCUUGUUGGAGGGAAUGGGAUUGGCGAGGGGGGUGGAUGAAUGGUUGUGAGUGGGUAUAGGGUUCCUCGGCGGCGGGCCUCGGUGCCAGAGAGCAUGAAGAUGGAGGACCUCUUGGGUUAGUCUUUCCUCGGAGUAAGGAUCCAUUGACAACUUCCUCCUCCCGACUCUCACCAACCUUUCGUCUUUCUUCUUUCUUCUUUCUAAAAUAAAGAAUAAUAAAGUUUUAACGAUGCUAAAAUUUCAAGACUACUCUUUAAGCUUUAAAAAAAAAAAGUUUAACCAAUACUUUCAAUCAAAAUUUUAAGUUAAAAACUAUAGUUUAAAAUUUAUUACAUAACCAUCUUAGUUGUUAUUGUUGUAAUUAAUUGUCAACAAAAAAUAUAGAUAUAGUUGAUUAUUAUCUAUAUUUUCUUUUAUUUCUCUGGUUAUUGUUUUUUCUUUUUUUCUAAAUAGUUAUUGGUUUUUUAAAAAAAUAUUUUCUUUCUAAACUUUAAUAAGUAAGUUUAAUUAAUAAGUUUGGUUAAACUAUUAUUUGGUAUUUGGUUCUUAUAUAUCGAAGUUAGUUUUUUAGUACAAUAAUUAUGGACGGAGAAAUAGGAGAUUAUAACUUUAAUAUAGUAAUUUGAAGCUAAAUUAGACCAAAGUAUUAUAUCUACCUUCUAAAAUUUAAAAUUUUAACAACUUUUAUCACUUAAAUUUUGUAUUUGAUAUUAAUUGUUAUAAUUAUUCAUACAUGAAGUUUGAGCUUGAAUAAAAUGUGGAUUAUCUCAUCCUAAUCUCUCAAAUCGUCCACAAAUCAUUUCCAACCAUUAAGAUUAGACGUGAUAUAAGAUGACUUAAUUCAAAAACACAUAAAAUAAUUCAACCAAUCCUAAUUCUUACUAUUUGGGUUGGACAAUUCGAGUUAUUUGAGCACUUUUAAUCUCUACUUACAUAUAUGUUCUAAAAAUACACAAUCUUAUUUAAUUAAUACAUAAAUAUUUUACUAUUAAUUGACGACUUAAAAUAUUUAUUGACGUUUUCAAAUAAAACAAAAUUGAAUAUUCUAUCCAUAAUAAUUGAUAAAAGUUGAUGAAAGUGUCUAUCAGUUAUCUAUUAAGAACUUAGUUGCAUUUUUUUUUUAAUUUUAAUUAAUAUGUUUCUUAUACCUACUUUUUUUUAUAAAAAUUUUUAUUCAAUAAUUUUUCCUAUCUUUGCUUAAUUGGAUUAUUCUUUUACUUUUAUAAGUUUUUUUUGUUUGGUAACGAACAACAACUAACCUAUUAUCUUUUGUGCACUAACAUAGAUAAAUAAAAUAUAAAACAAAUGAGAAAUCAAAACUUUUAUUUCUAUUUUUAUUUUUACUUUUCUUCUAAUUGUUGCGUUCUAUUUUUCCAUGAUUUCUUUUAUUUGAAUCUCCCCGUCAUCUUAGCUGUGGAUGAAAUGUUAUCAUAUUUCUUCACCAAUUUCACAUUCAAUUUCUCCGAAUAUGAAGAAUCAUCAAAUAUAUCUUCAUUUUUACUAAUUCUAACUAGAAAAUAUUAAAAGAAAAGGAUAAUUAUGAGUUUUUUUUGUUGUUAAUUUUGCUUUGUUUUUUUGUUCUCUAAUCUAUUGCGUACAUAGUUUUCCAAAUUCUUUAACACUCAUUUAAUAUGUGAGUUAUAUAUAUACACACACGAUCAAUAUAAAAAUCAAUUUCAUGCAUACAAAAAAUAUUGUUAUUUAAAAUAGUUAAAUUGGUUAGUUCGACCAAGUAAGUACAAACAAUAUGUCUUCAUUGCUUGUUAGUGAUACUGUUAAGAAGCAAUGAGUUUUUGGAAUGCUUGUGGCAAAUAAAUCUAUAAGAAUGACUUGUCCAUCCACUUGUUGAUCCACAUACAACUUCUCAAUAUCAAAUUACUAUGAAAGACACAACUAUUAACAUUAUAAACUAAUAAUUUCAAUUUUGUACUUAAAAGCACUUUUACCAACCAACUUAUUUUUCUAAUCAAAUGUGAUUUUUCUUGAAGUUUAUCAUAGAGAGGUAGUUGUUGGAGUCCAAAGUUGAAGAUGGUUGUCGAAGUUAAUUAUCCAAUGUGAUUUUCGCCAAAGUUUGUAGUUGUAAAUUGUUGUCAAAGACAGAAGUUGGUUGCACAAAACUGAUCUUGGAAAUCGUCGUAAGAGUCUGUUGUCAUAACUUGAAAUUCAUCACAAAGGUGAUCAUCAAAGUCGAUUUUCAUCAAAGUUUGUUAUUGGAACCCGAAAUUGGUCAUCAAAGUUGGUUAUGCAAAGUCAAUCAUCAAGGAGAUGUGAAAAUGGUAGUUGGUAGGUGAAUCUAUUGGAAACAUUAGAGAGAACGGAGUAAAAAGUGAGUUGGUAUAAUAUACAUGUUAUGAUAUAUAUAUUUAUAUUUUAUCAUAUGUCAAUUAUUGUAAUUGUACAUAGUGUCUAGUGUUUAUUUUAUUCUCUAUAUAAAUAGGUAACGUUCCUUUGACUCAAUACGAAUAAGAAAUAUAUUUAUAUGAAUUCAACUCCAUCAAUAUGUAAAGUUAAUGGAUCAAACAAUGAGUUUAUAAAUUAUAACAACUCAACUCAUCUCAAAUUGGUGUGUCAAAUACGUUAGCAUCUAUAUUUUAUAAAUAUUUUUCAGAGUAGUUUUAUUGUUUAAUUAGUUGUUGUGAAAGGUAACAUAUUUAACCUAACUUUUUCUAUAUAUAUAUAAAAGUAAAGAAUAACAUUAUAUAUCAAACAGAAGCAAAAGACAAAAAUACAUAAUAAAGGAAAAGGGACAAAAUUGGUAAAAUGAUUUUCUUUUGAAUAGGCCUACAUCUCAUAAUCUCAUAAACAGCCAAAAUGUCACAAAACGACCUUCAUCAAACUUUGCUGAAGGCAGAUUUUACUAUUAACGCUGUUACCUAAUCAAAUCAUAUCUAUGUUCUUAACUCUCAUUAACACCUCACAUUACAAAAUCCAGAGCACCAUCCUUCAAAGUAACUUCACCAUUGCGAUCAACCUUCAUAGAAUCAGUUUAUUUAACACCCUCCAAGACGGAGUCAUCUUCAACGAUAUCAUCCGUAUUACUAGACUGCAUUUUGCCAACAGAUUUGUCCUGCAACUUUGCCAAAGGCAGCAGCGUUGUUAAUAGAGAAAAUGAGCAUGAAGUUAAAAGCAUAGUAAGAGAUUGAUUUGAUGAACUAGCAGACCUUUGACACGUCUGACUUCGUUAAGGAACGACCAAGAGCUUCGCCUUCUAACACGAUUGCAGGAAGCAUUUCAAUGUCGCACCCAAGAACCUUGCAUACAACUAAAGUAUAUGCCCUAUGAGCCAGCAUUCCCGUUUUCAACACUUCAGUUUUCUGAGGCUUCUGACCCUGAUUCUGUGUAUUGUUCUUCCCUAGAUGAGUAGAAUGCUGGAGAAGGCGGCUACAUGUCUUAAAACUCUUCAUUUUCCUUCCUGCUAAUUUGCAAGCUAAACAGGUAAAUUCUCCAUCGCCAUAGUGGUUCUCAUAAUAUCUUCUCAAGUUUUCAUUCUCGGUGAACAACUUCAGAAAGAAUUUGAACUCUUCGCUCUCCUCAGCUCCAUCCAUUAACUCCUUUUCACUAGCAUCAUCAUCGUUCAUAGAUCC
rnacentral:lncRNA from 1 species